AAAGGCAAAGUUAGUCCGCGCAGAUAUAUAUCAAAUGUUUGCUUUCAGCAUUGUAAGUUUUAUGCGGAGGGUGCCGACUCGGUUUCGUCCGAGCCCCCUUCAGUCUUUUUCAUGUCCCCUCCGCUCUUUGGCUUUGCCUCUUGUUAGCUAGACAGCUCGGAGUCGGCCUCUAGCUGUUACGAAGAGUGGCCGCGGAGUGGAGCGUACAGUACUCGGACAACAGGAGCAGAUUCGACCGAGUAGAUACUCAUAAAGGAAACGGCUGGGUUGCCCAAGCCGUCUUUUCCCGGACUUUUUUCGCGUGGGGUGACCUCCAGCUUUUGCUCUUGCUUGCCGGACAGCCGCGCUGCGGUCUGUGGCUGAGAGUGGACCUUUGGUACCGUAUGCUCUACUAAGCCGUCUGCGGGAACGAACGUAUCGGGCCGAGCGGCCAGCCUCCGGGCCGACACUAGCUGGCGCGGGGGCGAACAGUGAUGCAACUAUGAUAAAGGCGGAGGUGGUCCCCGAGGGUUGCUCGGGGUUAUCCAGUUUUGCAUGUGAUGCAAAAAUAAAUGGGUGAGGAGCUCACAUUGAUUUGACGCAGACGAGGCAGAGAUUGUCGAUGACAGCCGGCGCGGUUUGGCGCUAGCGCGCCGACACACCCACCGGGGGUAGCCUUCGAGCCUCCGGGUGCUCGAAGGGGGGUCCCAGCCGGUCGGGUCCGACCGAACAAGCGUCGAGGCGGACUGACGGCUGGGCCGGCUUGGCGCAGCCGGCGUCGAGGCAGACGAGCGAACGGGUCGGGCCCCCAGCCGGCCAGGCAUCGAAGCCGGCAGGCGGACUAGGCGGCCAGACGGCAACGCGGGUAGGUCGCGGCUGGAGCAGCCGGACAUAUCUCUUUUUUCUUUUUUUCUUUUCCGCAGUACUUUUUCUCUCUUUUUUUUACAGCCGGCUUGGGCACAUCUCUUUUCUUUCUUCUGGCAGGAGCAGCACGCAGCGGAAACCGACAGCUGGGUCGCGGCAGAAGCCGGCAGGCCGGGUUGCGGGGGGAGCCAGCCAGCGCGGGAGCCGGCCGACCGGGGUGCGGGGNNNNNNNNNNNNNNNNNNNNNNNNNNNNNNNNNNNNNNNNNNNNNNNNNNNNNNNNNNNNNNNNNNNNNNNNNNNNNNNNNNNNNNNNNNNNNNNNNNNNNNNNNNNNNNNNNNNNNNNNNNNNNNNNNNNNNNNNNNNNNNNNNNNNNNNNNNNNNNNNNNNNNNNNNNNNNNNNNNNNNNNNNNNNNNNNNNNNNNNNNNNNNNNNNNNNNNNNNNNNNNNNNNNNNNNNNNNNNNNNNNNNNNNNNNNNNNNNNNNNNNNNNNNNNNNNNNNNNNNNNNNNNNNNNNNNNNNNNNNNNNNNNNNNNNNNNNNNNNNNNNNNNNNNNNNNNNNNNNNNNNNNNNNNNNNNNNNNNNNNNNNNNNNNNNNNNNNNNNNNNNNNNNNNNNNNNNNNNNNNNNNNNNNNNNNNNNNNNNNNNNNNNNNNNNNNNNNNNNNNNNNNNNNNNNNNNNNNNNNNNNNNNNNNNNNNNNNNNNNNNNNNNNNNNNNNNNNNNNNNNNNNNNNNNNNNNNNNNNNNNNNNNNNNNNNNNNNNNNNNNNNNNNNNNNNNNNNNNNNNNNNNNNNNNNNNNNNNNNNNNNNNNNNNNNNNNNNNNNNNNNNNNNNNNNNNNNNNNNNNNNNNNNNNNNNNNNNNNNNNNNNNNNNNNNNNNNNNNNNNNNNNNNNNNNNNNNNNNNNNNNNNNNNNNNNNNNNNNNNNNNNNNNNNNNNNNNNNNNNNNNNNNNNNNNNNNNNNNNNNNNNNNNNNNNNNNNNNNNNNNNNNNNNNNNNNNNNNNNNNNNNNNNNNNNNNNNNNNNNNNNNNNNNNNNNNNNNNNNNNNNNNNNNNNNNNNNNNNNNNNNNNNNNNNNNNNNNNNNNNNNNNNNNNNNNNNNNNNNNNNNNNNNNNNNNNNNNNNNNNNNNNNNNNNNNNNNNNNNNNNNNNNNNNNNNNNNNNNCGCGGGCGUGCGGCUGCAGCGGCGCGAGCGCAGAGGCGGCUGGCGGCGUCCGGGAGCCUGCGGGGGUGGGCGCGCAAGUGGCCAGGGCUCACGUGGAGCAGCAAGCAGCAGCAACGCAUCAGGACCAUCAGUAGCAAGCAGCGGCGGCAGUCGCCGUGGCGCAAACAACAGCAGCAAGUAGGCAAGGGGAGGCAGCAGCAACAACUGCGGUGGUGCAAGAGGCAUCAGCAGCAGCAGAAGUGAGCAGCAACGGCUACGGCUAGGAGCAGCCAUAGCAACGGGCGCGCAUGGAGGGAAGCGGGCGAGGCCGGGCGCAGUCAGCGACGCGACUCCGUGGUGGAGCGGACGUGCAGCGACGCGGUGGAGCAGAGCGGAGGCGAGCUGUGCAUGCCCAACAUCUGAUUUGUGGAUGGUCGAUGUACAGGCAAGGCAAUGACCAAGUUGAAGCGGACUAAUGCAUGGGUAGUGAAUAGCCAUUAUUGGGCCAGUGCAAGAUUACCCGACCAUCGUAUGGGCAGUGCAUAGGCAAUGCAAUGACCAUGUAUCAGGGAUGCGUAUGGGCAACGUAUGGCUAGCAUCUGAAUGGUGUUCGGGGCAUGAGCAGGAAGGCGAGCAGCAGCACGAGUCGCGGACAGAGAAGGCGCUGCCGAGCACUGAUGGUGGUGGAGAACCAUGCCAUGGUGGAGAUGGUGCAAGUGGCAGAGAGACGCCGGAGGUCGAGGAGGCCGGAUGCGGCGCGCACGCGCGCGAACGGAGUCAGACGACGGGGACACGCCGCCCCGCACGUGCGCGCCGAGGGGAUGGUGAAGUCGAGCCCCGAGCGCCGCCGGACAGACGGCAGCGACGUCGCGGCGGUGAUGAUGAAGAGGGCGAGGCCGACGGCGAGGACGCGCCGCCUCGCGCGGUCGCCCCGGGGACGUGUCGAUGUCAGGUCCCGAGCGCUACCGGAGAGACGACGGCGACGCCGCGAUGACGAAGAAGACGGCGAGGCCGCUGAUGAGGACGUGCCGCCCUACACGGUCGCCUCGGGGCCGUGUCGAUGUCGAGCCCCGAGCGCUACCGGAGAGACGACGGCGACGCCCUGAUGAUGAUGAAGACGGCGAGGCCGACGACGAGGGCGCGCCGCUCCGCACGGCCGCCCCGGGGGCGAGUUGAUGUUGAGCCCUCGAGGCGGCCAAAGAGACGGCGGCGACGUCGCGGCGGAGAUGACGAAAAUGGUCCCGCCCGGACCACGGUUCCGCGGCAGCUUGCCCCACGGUGGGCGCCAACUGUCGGGGUUAUCUCGCGGGCGGGUUCGCGAGACGACAGAUGCCACGAGGUGGCUUGUGGUGAGGGCAAGACUGCUUUGGAGGUCAAGGGACGGGAUUGGGCAAACAGCACGCGGUGAUUUACCCAGGUUCGGGGCUCUCCGGAGAGAUAAUACCCCUACUCCUGCAUGUCUGAAUAUAUAUGCGGUGUACAUGUUGGGCAGUACAAAGUUGCUCCUGAAGUUGUAUUACAGAAGGCAGUAGAGAGCCUUAUGCGUAUGAGCAUGUGUAUGCGCAAGUGUGUGCGUGAGUGGCCUUGUGGCCGUGGGAGUCCAUCCUCCUGGAUGGAUGGGUGUGAGCUAGCUUAUAUAAUGUGGCUAGCUUGUGAUGUACGCCAUGUAGGCAUGGGUGUGUGCUUGGGAUGUAAGCUACAGUGUGUAGCUUACAUUCCAAGCCAUGCUUGCUUGCAUGCCAGGCUAAGUUUUGUCCCUGGGGCAUUUUAUAAAUCAAUGCCCGGGGGACAAAGUACACUGUAGAUGAUGACGCAUGUGACGAGCGAACAACGUAUGCUUUAUCAGCAAUAGUGAUCGCAGUAUGGCCGUCUUGUUGGUGUCGUGUCAGAUGGCACGCCGUAGUUGACUUCGUGUAGCAGGCCGGCUGGAGCAGCCGGACAGGGACCCGGCCGGGCGGCCGGGUUGAAGGACUUGGUCGGGUUGAGCAACCCGGCCAAGUGCGACCUGGAUUGAGCGGCGUUGCUGGUCCAGAUGUUUUUGAAGCUUCGUUCGCCGUCUUGGGCCUACCCGGGGGUCAUCCCCCCGUCAAUUUGUUUACGAAGGGAGUAACUUUCAAUAUAAACAAUUUAAGUACAAGUUACCGCAAGGAGGCACAUUGGAUAUAAGAUAAAAACUUGGCAAUCCAAAUGACUUGGCUUGAGACUAAAUGAAUGAUGAAGUCCCAUUAAUUCUUCAUAAUGUAGCCAAGUCUCCAAUGCCCUCCAACAACACCUAUUGAUCAAGUUUGAGCUUGUUGGUCCCCAACCAAGUUGGGUCCUAAGAGGUUAGUCACAAUAGGUUUGGAUACCCAAAUGGUUCUUUUCUUGACACCAAUUUGAGUACCAACAAACUUGGCAAACACAUUGCCAACCUUAUCCUUCCCAAGAGAAUAGAUACCAUCAAUUAGAAUAGGGUUAGAUAAGGUACCAUUCGUGCAUGAAGAAGCAACAUGACCUUUCUCACGACAUAAGUAGCAACAUCUACUCUUCACUUUCUUCUCACUUGAUCUCUCAACUUGAGAAGCAUUAAAUCGAGUCUUCUUGGGAAGUGGCCUUUCUUCAACAUGUGGUUGAGCAUGAGAUUGAACUUGAGGCCGCUUCCCUUGUUGCUUGUCACUAUGAGGCUUCUUCUUCAAUGGGCAAGAUCUAACAUGAUACCCUUCAAUCUUGCACUUGAAAAAAACAAUCUUGGCCGAUCUUGACCUGUUCUUGGCCCUUCUUCUUGUUGCUCUUGUACUUGUUAUUCUUCUUACUGGAGUUGAAUCCAAGUCCACCUUUGUCAUAGGGAGACUUUUGCACACUAUUGUUGAGUGUGGACUUCCCUUCAUGACUCUUUUCCAAGUCUUUCUUCAAGGAAGUGACUUGGGCCUUGAACUCUUUGAUUUACUCUACAUGGUUAGUCUCAACACAAGUACUAGAGGAAGUAUAAGCUUCAUCAUUAGAGCAAGAAGGCAAGGAAAGUAAUUCAUCACAAGAUCUAGCUGCAUUAUGAGUAGAUGAAUUACGAGGACUAGCAAACGGCAAUAUAGCAUUUUGACUAGAAGUAGUGCUAGUAUCUGAAGGAAAUAUGCCCUAGAGGCAAUAAUAAAGUAUUAUUUAUUUCCUUGUAUCAUGAUAAAUGUUUAUUAUUCAUGCUAGAAUUGUAUUAACCGGAAACAUAAUACAUGUGUGAAUAUAUAGACAAACAGAGUGUCACUAGUAUGCCUCUACUUGACUAGCUCGUUAAUCAAAGAUGGUUAUGUUUCCUAGCCAUAGACAUAAGUUGUCAUUUGAUUAACGAGAUCACCUCAUUAGGAGAAUGAUGUGAUUGACUUGACCCAUUCCGUUAGCUUAGCACUCCAUUGUUUAGUAUGUUGCUAUUGCUUUCUUCAUGACUUAUACAUGUUCCUAUGACUAUAAGAUUAUGCAACUCCCGUUUACCGGAGGAACACUUUGUGUGCUACCAAACGUCACAACGUAAAUGGGUGAUUAUAAAGGUGCUCUACAGGUGUCUCCAAAGGUACUUGUUGGGUUGGCGUAUUUCGAGAUUAGGAUUUGUCACUCCAAUUGUCGGAGAGGUAUCUCUGGGCCCACUCGGUAAUGCACAUCACUAUAAGCCUUGCAAGCAUUGUGACUAAUGAGUUAGUUGCGGGAUGAUGUGUUAUGGAACGAGUAAAGAGACUUGCCGGUAACGAGAUUGAACUAGGUAUCAAGAUACCGACGAUCAAAUCUCGGGCAAGUAACAUACCGGUGACAAAGGGAACAACGUAUGUUGUUAUGCGGUCUGACCGAUAAAGAUCUUCGUAGAAUAUGUGGGAGCCAAUAUGGGCAUCCAGGUCCCGCUAUUGGUUAUUGACCGAAGACGUGUCUCGGUCAUGUCUACAUAGUUCUCGAACCCGUAGGGUCCGCACGCUUAACGUUACGAUGACAGUUUUAUUGAGUUUUGAUGUACCGAAGGAGUUUGGAGUCCCGGAUGAGAUCGGGGAUAUGACGAGGAGUCUCGAAAUGGUCGAGACGUAAAAAUCGAUAUAUUGGACGACUAUAUUCGGACUUCGGAAAGGUUCCGAGUGAUUCGGGUAUUUUUCGGAGUACCGGAGAGUUACGGGAAUUCGUAUUGGGCCUUAAUGGGCCAUACAGUAAAGGAGAGAAAUGCCUCAAAAGGUGGCCGCACCCCUCCCCAUGGUCUGGUCCGAAUUGGACUAGGGAAGGGGGGCGCACCCUUCCUUCUUUCUCCUUCCCCCUUCCCUUCUCCUACUCCCACAAGGAAAGGAGGAGUCCUACUCCGGUUGGGAGUAGGACUCCCCCCUAUGGCGCGCCUCUCCCCUUGGCCGGCUGCCUCCCCCUUGCUCCUUUAUAUACGGGGGCAGGGGGGCACCCCAGACACACAACAAUUGAUCCUUGAGAUCUCUUAGCCGUGUGCGGUGCCCCCUCCACCAUAUUACACCUCGAUAAUACCGUUGCGGAGCUUAGGCGAAGCCCUGCGUCGGUGGAACAUCAUCAUCGUCACCACGCCGUCGUGCUGACGAAACUCUCCCUCAACACUCGACUGGAUUGGAGUUCGAGGGACGUCAUCGAACUGAACGUGUGUAGAACUUGGAGGUGCCGUACGUUCGGUACUUGAUCGGUCGGAUCGUGAAGACGUACGACUACAUCAACCGCGUUGUGAUAACGCUUCCGCUGUCGGUCUACGAGGGUACGUGGACAGCACUCUCCCCUCUCGUUGCUAUGCAUCACCAUGAUCUUGCGUGUGCGUAGGAAUUUUUUUGAAAUUACUACAUUCCCCACAGUAUCCACAUGAGGCUCACUAGAUGUUACCUUAGUAAUCAUAGCCUCAUGGGCUACCUUUAGCACAUUAUGGGAUACUAGAAGAUUAUCAUGAGAGCUAGAGAGAUUUUCAUGAAUUUCUUCCAAUUUCCCAUAAUUGCUAGAUAGCAACUCAAGUUGAGCCCUUAGCUCAACAUUCUCCUUCUAAAUGGAUGCUUCACAAGAAAUAGAGUUAGUAGAACAAGCAUCAUCAUUAACAAUAAGAGGAGAAGGCAACUUGGCAAGCUCUUUUGAAUAUGAAGCUUCAAGUUGGGCAUGAGACCCGGUGAGUUUGAUGAGCUCACUCUUAAUGACUCUUGAGCCAUUUUUUGAGGUGCUCAAAGUCCUCAAGGAGUUUGGCAUGUUCAACUUCAAGCUUAUCAUUUUUAGUUUUGAAAUCAUUGGCCACCUUGAGAGCUCUAUCACGGAUUUCUUUACUUUAGAUAAGUCUAAAGCAAGAGUCUCCUCAAGAGAUUCCUUGGUGGUUUGUUCUUCCUCAAGAGCUUGAGAUAGAUCUACAAUCUCAUUAGCAUAAUCAAGCUCAUGACUUUCCAUUUUCUCAAUGGAGACUUCAUGCUCCUCGAGAUGAGAUUCCAACUCCCCAAUGUAUUUCUUGCCAUCAAUGGCAAUAGACAUUAUUUGCAUGAAGUUGGAAUGAGCAAUUUUAUUCUUAUGAAGAGCUUUAAAAAUUGUUUCCCCCUUAAUUUUUAAGGAAGCAAUAUUAUCAUUCUCUUCAUCAUUAUCCUCAUUCUCAUCAUCAUCCACAUCAUCAUAAGUCUGAAACAUUUGAAAAGUUCAAAGAAUUUCAGAGUGAAGUGGAAAAUCAUCGUAACAAGAAAAUAAAGUUUCUACGAUCUGAUCGUGGAGGAGAAUAUUUGAGUUAUGAGUUUGGCCUUGAUGUCUACUACACAACCUUCUUCUUGUAGACGUUGUUGGGCCUCCAAGUGCAGAGGUUUGUGGGACAGUAGCAAAUUUCCCUCAAGUGGAUGACCUAAGGUUUAUCAAUCCGUGGGAGGCGUAGGUUGAAGAUGGUCUCUCUCAAACAACCCUGCAACUAAAUAACAAAGAGUCUCUUGUGUCCCCAACACACCCAAUACAAUGGUAAAUUGUAUAGGUGCACUAGUUCGGCGAAGAGAUGGUGAUACAAGUGCAAUAUGGAUGGUAGAUAUAGGUUUUUGUAAUCUGAAAUUAUAAAAACAGCAAGGUAACAAGCGAUAAAAGUGAGCGUAAAUGGUAUUGCAAUGCGUUGAAACAAGGCCUAGGGUUCAUACUUUCACUAGUGCAAGUUCUCUCAACAAUAAUAACAUAACUGGAUCAUAUAAUUAUCCCUCAACAUGCAACAAAGAGUCACUCCAAAGUCACUAAUAGCGGAGAACAAACGAAGAGAUUAUGGUAGGGUACGAAACCACCUCAAAGCUAUCCUUUCUGAUCGAUCUAUUCAAGAGUCCGUAGUAAAAUAACAUGAAGCUAUUCUUUCCAUUCAAUCUAUCAUAGAGUUCGUACUAGAAUAACACCUUAAGACACAAUCAACCAAAACCCUAAUGUCACCUAGAUACUCCAAUGUCACCUCAAGUAUCCGUGGGUAUGAUUAUACGAUAUGCAUCACACAAUCUCAGAUUCAUCUAUUCAACCAACACAAAGAACUUCAAAGAGUUCCCCAAAGUUUCUACCGGAGAGUCAAGACGAACAUAGAUUCCCAAGGUCACGGAACCCGCAAGUUGAUCACCAAAACAUACAUCAAGUGAAUCACGUGAUAUCCCAUUGUCACCACAGAUACGCACAUGCAAGACAUACAUCAAGUGUUCUCAAAUCCUUAAAGACUCAAUCCGAUAAUAUAACUUCAAAGGGAAAACUCAAUCCAUUACAAGAGAGUAGAGGGGGAGAAACAUCAUAAGAUCCAACUAUAAUAGCAAAGCUCGCGAUACAUCAAGAUCGUACCACCUCAAGAACACGAGAGAGAGAGACAGAGAGAGAUCAAACACAUAGCUACUGGUACAUACCCUCAGCCCCGAGGGUGAACUACUCCCUCCUCGUCAUGGAGAGCGCCGGGAUGAUGAAGAUGGCCACCGGUGAGGGUUCCCCCCUCCGGCAGGGUGCCGGAACAGGGUCUCAAUUGGUUUUUGGUGGCUACAGAGGCUUGCGGCAUCAGAACUCCCGAUCUAUUCUGUUCCCCGAUGUUUUUAGGGUAUAUGGAUAUAUAUAGGCGAAAGAAGUCAGUCAGGGGAGCCACGAGGGGCCCACGAGGGUGGGGGCGCGCCCAGGGGGCAGGCGCGCCUCCCUGCCUCGUGGCCACCUCAUUGCUUCCCUGACGUACACUCCAAGUCUCCUCGAUUGCUUCCAUUCCAAAAAUAACUCUCCCGAAGGUUUCAUUCCGUUUGGACUCUGUUUGAUAUUCCUUUUCUUCGAAACACUGAAACAAGGGAAAAAACAGGAACUGGCACUGGGCUCUGGGUUAAUAGGUUAGUCCCAAAAAUAAUAUAAAAGUGCAUAGUAAAGCCCAUAAACAUCCAAAACAAAAUAUAUAAUAGCAUGGAACAAUCAAAAAUUAUAGAUACGUUGGAGACGUAUCAGCAUCCCCAAGCUUAAUUCAUGCUCGUCCUCGAGUAGGUAAAUGAUAAAAAUAGAAUUUUUGAUGUGGAAUGCUACCUAACAUAUUUAUCCAUGUAAUUCUCUUUAUUAUGGCAAGAAUAUUCAGAUCCAUAAGAUUCAAGACAAAAGUUUAAUAUUGACAUAAAAAUAAUAAUACUUCAAGCAUACUAACAAAGCAAUCAUGUCUUCUCAAAAUAACAUGGCCAAAGAAAGUUAUCCCUAAAAAAUCAUAUAGUCUGGAUAUGCUCUAUCUUCAUCACACAAAGUAUUUAAAUCAUGCACAACCCCGAUGACAAGCCAAGCAAUUGUUUCAUACUUUUGAUGUUCUCAAACUUUUUCAACUUUCACACAAUACAUGAGCGUGAGCCAUGGACAUAGCACUAUAGGUGGAAUAGAAUGGUGGUUGUGGAGAAGACAAAAAGGAGAAGAUAGUCUCACAUCAACUAGGCAUAUCAACGGGCUAUGAAGAUGCCCAUUAAUAGAUAUCGAUGUGAGUGAGUAGGGAUUGCCAUGCAACGGAUGCACUAGAGCUAUAAGUAUAUGAAAGCUCAACAAUGGAAACUAAGUGGGUGUGCAUCCAACUUGCUUGCUCACGAAGACCUAGGGCAAUUUGAGGAAGCCCAUCAUUGGAAUAUACAAGCCAAGUUCUAUAAUGUAAAAUUCCCGCUAGUAUAUGAAAGUGACAACAUAGGAGACUCUCUAUCAUGAAGAUCAUGGUGCUACUUUGAAGCACAAGUGUGGUAAAAGGAUAGUAGCAUUGUCCCUUCUCUCUUUUCCUCUCAUUUUUUAUAUUUUUUUGGGCCUUUUCUCUUUUUUUAUGGCCUCUUUUUUUAGUCCGGAGUCUCAUCCCGACUUGUGGGGGAAUCAUAGUCUCCAUCAUCCUUUCCUCACUGGGACAAUGCUCUAAUAAUGAUGAUCAUCACACUUUUAUUUACUUACAACUCAAGAAUUACAACUUGAUACUUAGAACAAAAUAUGACUCUAUAUGAAUGCCUCCGGCGGUGUACCGGGAUGUGCAAUGACUCAUGAGUGACAUGUAUGAAAGAAUUAUGAACGGUGGCUUUGCCAAAAAUACAAUGUCAACUACAUGAUCAUGCAAAGCAAUAUGACAAUGAUGGAGUGUGUCAUAAUAAACGGAACGGUGGAAAGUUGCAUGACAAUAUAUCUCGGAAUGGCUAUGGAAAUGCCAUAAUAGGUAGGUAUGGUGGCUGUUUUGAGGAAGGUAUAUGGUGGGUGUUUGAUACCGGUGAAAGGAGCACGGUAUUAGAGAGGCUAGCAAUGGUGGAAGGGUGAGAGUGCGUAUAAUCCAUGGACUCAACAUUAGUCAUAAUGAACUCACAUACUUAUUGCAAAAAUAUAUUAGUUAUCGAAACAAAGUAUUACGCGCAUGCUCCUAGGGGGAUAGAUUGGUAGGAAAAUACCAUCGCUCGUCCCCGACCGCCACCCAUAAGGAAGACAAUCAAUAAAUAAAUCAUGCUCCGACUUCAUCACAUAACGGUUCACCAUACGUGCAUGCUACGGGAAUCACAAACUUUAACACAAGCAUCUCUCAAAUUCACAACUACUCCUAGCAUGACUCUAAUAUUACCAUCUUCAUAUCUCAAAACAAUCAUAAAGAAUCAAACUUCUCAUAGUAUUCAAUGCACUUUAUAUGAAAGUUUUUAUUAUAUCCCUCUUGGAUGCCUAUCAUAUUAGGACUAGUUUCAUAACCAAAGAAAAUUACCAUGCUGUUUAGGACUCUUAAAAUAAUAUAAGUGAAGCAUGAGAGUUCAUCUAUUUCUAUAAAAUAAAACCAGCACCGUGCUCUAAAAGAUAUAAGUGAAGCACUAGAGCAAACAACAAACUACUCCGAAAGAUAUAAGUGAAGAUCAAUGAGUAGCCGAAUAAUUAUGUAACUAUGUGAAGACUCUCUAACAUUUAAGAAUUUCAGAUCUUGGUAUUUUAUUCAAACAGCAAGCAAAACAAAAGAAAAUAAAAUGACGCUCCAAGCAAAACACAUAUCAUGUGGUGAAUAAAAAUAUAGCUCCAAGUAAAGUUACCGAUGAACGGAGACGAAAGAGGGGAUGCCAUUCGGGGCAUCCCCAAGCUUAGACUCUUGGUUGUCCUUGAAUAUUACCUUGGGGUGCCUUGGGAAUCCCCAAGCUUAGGCUCUUGCCACUCCUUAUUCCAUAGUCCAUUGAAUCUUUACCCAAAACUUGAAAACUUCACUACACAAAACUUAACAGAAGAUCUUGUGAGCUCCGUUAGUGAAAGAAAACAAAACACCACUUCAAGGUACUGUAAUGAACUCAUUAUUUAUUUGUAUUGGUGUUGAAUAUACUGUAUUCCAACUUCUCUAUGGUUUAUAAACUAUUUUACUAGCCAUAGAUUCAUCAAAAUAAGCAAAUAACACACGAAACAGAAUCUGUCAAAAGCAGAACAGUCUGUAGUAAUCUGUAACUAACGCAAACUUAUGGAACUCAAACAAUUCUACCAAAAUAGGACGACCUAGAUAAUUUAAUUAUUGAUCUGAUGCAAUUGGAACCAGUAUUUUAUCACGUUCUGGUGAUUUUUAACAAUUGUUUUCGUGAACAGAAAGUUUCUGGAAUUUUCAGCAAGAUCAAAUAACUAUAUUCCAGGAAGAUCCUAUAGGGUUAACUUGGCACAAACACUAACUAAAACAUAAAACCACAUCUAACCAGAGUCUAGAUAGAUUAUUUAUUGCUAAACAGAACCAAAAAGCAAGAAACUAAAAUAAAAUUGGGUUGCCUUCCAACAAGCGCUAACGUUUAACACCCCUAGCUAGGCAUGAUGAUUUCAAUGAUGCUCACAUAAAAGAUAAGAAUUGAAACAUAAAGAGAGCACCAUGAAGAAUAUGACUAGCACUUUUAAGUCUAACCCACUUCCUAUGCAUAGGGAUUUUGUGAGCAAACAACUUAUGGGAACAAUAAUCUACUAGCAUAGGAAGGCAAAACAAGCAUAACUUCAAAACUUUAAGCACAUAGAGAGGAAACUUGAUAUUAUUGCAAUUCCUACAAGUAUAUAUUCCUCCCUCAUAAUAAUUUUCAGUAGCAUCAUGAAUGAAUUCAAAAAUAUAACCAGCACCCAAAGCAUUCUUUUCAUGAUCUACUUGCAUAGAAAUUUUACUACUCUCCACAUAAGCAAAUUUAUUCUCAUCAAUAGUAGUGGGAGAAAACUCAACAAAAUAACUAUCAUGUGAUUGAAAAUUAAGAUCAAGAUGACAAGUUUCAUGGUUAUCAUUAUUCUUUAAAGCAUACGUGUCAUCACAAUAAUCAUCAUAGAUAGGAGGCAUGCUUUCAUCAUAGUAAAUUUGCUCAUCAAAACUUGGGGGACAAAAAAUAUCAUCUUCAUCAAACAUAGCAUCCCCAAGCUUGUGGCUUUGCAUAUCAUUAGCAUCACGGGUAUUCGAAGAAUUCAUACUAACAACAUUGCAAUCAUGCUCAUCAUUCAAAGAUUUAGUGCCAAACAUUUUAAUGCAUUCUUCUUCUAACACUUUGGCACAAUUUUUCUUUCCAUCAUACUCAUGAAAGAUAUUAAAAAGAUGAAGCGUAUGAGGCAAACUCAAUUCCAUUUUUUUGUAGUUUUCUUUUAUAGACUAAACUAGUGAUAAAACAAGAAACAAAAAGAUUCGAUUGCAAGAUCUAAAGAUAUACCUUCAAGCACUCACCUCCCCGGCAACAGCGCCAGAAAAGAGCUUGAUGUCUACUACGCAACCUUCUUCUUGUAGACAUUGUUGGGCCUCCAAGUGCAGAGGUUUGUAGGACAGUAGCAAAUUUCCCUCAAGUGCAUGACCUAAGGUUUAUCAAUCCGUGGGAGGCGUAGGUUGAAGAUGGUCUCUCUCAAACAACCCUGCAACCAAAUAACAAAGAGUCUCUUGUGUCCCCAACACACCCAAUACAAUGGUAAAUUGUAUGGGUGCACUAGUUCGGCGAAGAGAUAGUGAUACAAGUGCAAUAUGGAUGGUAGAUAUAGGUUUUUGUAAUCUGAAAUUAUAAAAACAGAAAGGUAACAAGCGAUAAAAGUGAGCGUAAACGGUAUUGCAAUGCUAAGAAACAAGGCCUAGGGUUCAUACUUUCACUAGUGCAAGUUCUCUCAACAAUAAUAACAUAAUUGGAUCAUAUAACUAUCCCUCAACAUGCAACAAAGAGUCACUCCAAAGUCACUAAUAGCGGAGAACAAACGAAGAGAUUAUGGUAGGGUACGAAACCACCUCAAAGCUAUCCUUUCUGAUCGAUCGAUUCAAGAGUCCGUAGUAAAAUAACACGAAGCUAUUCUUUCCGUUCAAUCUAUCAUAGAGUUCGUACUAGAAUAACACCUUAAGAUACAAAUCAACCAAAACCCUAAUGUCACCUAGAUACUCCAAUGUCACCUCAAGUAUCCGUGGGUACGAUUAUACGAUAUGCAUCACACAAUCUCAGAUUCAUCUAUUCAACCAACACAAAGAACUUCAAAGAGUGCCCCAAAGUUUCUACUAGAGAGUCAAGACAAAAACGUGUGCCAACCCCUAUGCCUAGAUUCCCAAGGUCACGGAACCCGCAAGUUGAUCACCAAAACAUACAUCAAGUGAAUCACGUGAUAUGCCAUUGUCACCACAGAUACGCACAUGCAAGACAUACAUCAAGUGUUCUCAAAUCCUUAAAGACUCAAUCCGAUAAGAUAACUUCAAAGGGAAAACUCAAUCCAUUACAAGAGAGUAGAGGGGGAGAAACAUCAUAAGAUCCAACUAUAAUAGCAAAGCUCACGAUACAUCAAGAUCGUAUCACCUCAAGAACACGAGAGAGAGAGAGAGAGAGAGAGAUUAAACACAUAGCUACUGGUACAUACCCUCAGCCCCGAGGGUGAACUACUCCCUCCUCGUCAUGGAGAGCGCCGGGAUGAUGAAGAUGGCCACCGGUGAGGGUUCCCCCUUCGGCAGGGUGCCGGAACAGGGUCCCGAUUGGUUUUUGGUGGCUACAGAGGCUUGCGGCGGCGGAACUCCCGAUCUAUUCUGUUCCCCGAUGUUUUUAGGGUAUAUGGAUAUAUAUAGGCGAAAGAAGUCGGUCAGGGGAGCCACGAGGGUGGGCGCGCCCAGGGGGGCAGGCGCGCCUCCCUGUCGUUGCCACCUUGUUGCUUCCCUGACGUACACUCCAAGUCUCCUGGAUUGCUUCCGUUCCAAAAAUAACUCUCCCGAAGGUUUCAUUCCGUUUGGACUCCGUUUGAUAUUCCUUUUCUUUGAAACACUGAAACAAGGGAAAAACAUGAACUGGCACUGGGCUCUGGGUUAAUAGGUUAGUCCCAAAAAUAAUAUAAAAGUGCAUAGUAAAGCCCAUAAACAUCCAAAACAGAAUAUAUAUAAUAGCAUGGAACAAUCAAAAAUUAUAGAUACGUUGGAGACGUAUCAGGCCUUCAUUUGAAACAAUGUGGAAUAGUUUCGCAACUCACGCCACCUGGAACACCACAGCGUAAUGGUGUGUCCGAACGUCAUAAUCGUACUUUACUAGAUAUGGUGCGAUCUAUGAUGUCUCUUACUGAUUUACCGCUAUCGUUUUGGGGUUAUGCUUUAGAGACGGAUGCAUUCAUGUUAAAUAGGGCACCAUCUAAAUCCGUUCAAACGACACCAUAUGAACUGUGGUUUAGCAAGAAACCUAAGCUGUCGUUUCUUAAAGUUUGGGGCUGUGAUGCUUAUGUGAAAAAGCUUCAACCUGAUAAGCUCGAACGCAAAUCGAAGAAAUGUGUCUUCAUAGGAUAUCCAAAGGAGACUGUUGGGUACACCUUCUAUCACAGAUCCGAAGGCAAGAUAUUCGUUGCUAAGAAUGGAUCCUUUCUAGAGAAGGAGUUUCUCUCAAAAGAAGUGAGUGGGAGUAAAGUAGAACUUGAUGAGGUGAUUGUACCUUCUCCCGACUUCGAAAGUAGUUCAUUACAGAAAUCAGUUCCAGUGAUUCCUACACCAAUUAGUGAGGAAGUUAAUGAUGAUGAUCAUGAAACUUCAGAUCAAGUUACUACCGAACCUCGUAGGUCAACCAGAGUACGUUCCGCACCAGAGUGGUACGGUAAUCCUGUUCUGGAAGUCAUGUUACUAGACCAUGACGAACCUACGAACUAUGAGGAAGCGAUGAUGAGCCCAGAUUCCGCAAAAUGGCUUGAGGCCAUGAAAUCUGAGAUGGGAUCCAUGUAUGAGACCAAAGUGUGGACUUUGGUUGACUUGCCCGAUGAUCGGCAAGCCAUCGAGAAUAAAUGGAUCUUCAAGAAGAAGACUGACGCUGACGGUAAUGUUACUGUCUAAAAAGCUCGACUUGUUGCGAAAGGUUUUCGGCAAGUUCAAGGAGUUGACUACGAUGGGACCUUCUCACCCGUAGCGAUGCUUAAGUCUGUCCGAAUCAUGUUAGCAAUUGCCGCAUUUUAUGAUUAUGAAAGCAAAUGGAUGUCAAAACUGCAUUCCUUAAUGGAUAUCUUAAAGAAGAGUUGUAUAUGAUGCAACCAGAAGGUUUUGUCGAUCCUAAAGGUGCUAACAAAGUGUGCAAGCUCCAGCGAUCCAUUUAUGGACUGGUGCAAGCCUCUCUGACUUGGAAUAUACGCUUUGAUAGUGUGAUCAAAGCAUAUGGUUUUAUACAGACUUUUGGAGAAGCCUGUAUUUACAAGAAAGUGAGUGGGAGCUCUAUAGCAUUUCUAAUAUUAUAUGUGGAUGACAUAUUGUUGAUUGGAAAUGACACAUAAUUUCUGGAUAGCAUAAACGGAUACUUGAAUAAGAAUUUUUCAAUGAAAGACCUCGGUGAAGCUGCUUAUAUAUUGGGCAUCAAGAUCUAUAGAGAUAGAUCAAGAUGCUUAAUUGGACUUUCACAAAGCACAUACCUUGAUAAAGUUUUAAAGAAGUUCAAAAUGGAUCAGUCAAAGAAAGGGUUCUUGCCUGUGUUACAAGGUGUGAAGUUGAGUCAGACUCAAUGCCCGACCACUGCAGAAGAUAGAGAGAAAAUGAAAGUCAUUCCCUAUGCCUCAGCCCUAGGUUUUAUCAUGUAUGCAAUGUUGUGUACCAGACCUGAUGUGUGCCUUGCUAUAAGUAUAGCAGGGAGGUACCAAAGUAAUCCAGGAGUGGAUCACUAGACAGCAGUCAAGAACAUCCAGAAAUACCUGAAAAGGACUAAGGAUAUGUUUCUCGUUUAUGGAGGUGACAAAGAGCUCGUCGUAAAUGGUUACGUCGAUGCAAGCUUCGACACUGAUCCGGAUGACUCUAAGUCACAAACCGGAUAUGUAUUUAUAUUGAAUGGUGGAGCUGUCAGUUGGUGCAGUUCCUAGCAGAGCGUCAUGGCGGGAUCUACGUGUGAAGCGGAGUACAUAGCUUCUUCGGAAGCAGCAAAUGAAGGAGUCUGGAUGAAGGAGUUCAUACCCGAUCUAGGUGUAAUACCUAGUGCAUCGGGUCCAAUGAAAAUCUUUUGUGACAAUACUGGAGCAAUAGCCUUGGCGAAGGAAUCCAGAUUUCACAAGAGAACCAAACACAUGAAGAGACGCUUCAAUUCCAUCCGCGAUCAAGUCAAGUCGGGAGACAUAGAGAUUUGCAAAAUACAUACGGAUGAAUGUUGCAGACCCGUUGACUAAGCCUCUUCCAUGAGCAAAACAUGAUCAGCACCAAGACUCCAUGGGUGUUAGAAUCAUUACUAUGUAAUCUAGAUUAUUGACUCUAGUGCAAGUGGGAGACUGAAGGAAAUGUGCCCUAGAGGCAAUAAUAAAGUUUUUGUUUAUAAUUCCUUAUAUCAUGAUAAAUGUUUAUUAUUCAUGCUAGAAUUGUAUUAACCGGAAACUUACUACAUGUGUGAAUACAUAGACAAAUAGAGUGUCCCUAGUAUGCCUCUACUUGACUAGCUCAUUAAUCAAAGAUGGUUAAGUUUUCUAGCCAUAGACAUGUGUUGUCAUUUGAUGAACAUGAUCACAUCAUUAGAGAAUGAUGUGAUGGACAAGACCCAUCCGUUGGCUUAGCAUAAUGAUCGUUUAGUUUUAUUGCUAUUGCUUUCUUCAUGACUUAUACAUGUUCCUCUGACUAUGAGAUUAUGCAACUCCCGAAUACCGGAGGAAUACCUUGUGUGCUAUCAAAUGUCACAACAUAACUGGGUGAUUAUAAAGAUGCUCUACAGGUGUAUCCGAACGUGUUUGUUGAGUUGGCAUAGAUCAAGAUUAGGAUUUGUCACUCCGUGUAUCGGAGAGGUAUCUCUGGGCUCUCUCGGUAAUGCACAUCACUAUAAGCCUUGCAAGCAAUGUGACUAAUCAGUUAGUUGCGGGAUGAUGCAUUACGGAACGAGUAAAGAGACUUGCGGUAAUGAGAUUGAACUAGGUAUGAUGAUACCGACGAUCGAAUCUCGGGCAACUAACAUACCGAUGACAAAGGGAACAACGUAUGUUGUUAUGCGGUUUGACCGAUAAAGAUCUUCAUAGAAUAUAUGUAGGAGCCAAUAUGAGCAUCCAUGUUCCGCUAUUGGUUAUAGACCGGAGAUGUGUCUCAGUCAUGUCUACAUAGUUCUCGAACCCGUAGGGUCCGCACGCUUAACGUUUGAUGACGAUUUGUAUUAUGAGUUAUGUGAUUUGAUGAUCAAAGAUUGUCCGGAGUCCCGGAUGAGAUCACGGACAUGACAAGGAGUCUCGAAAUGGUCGAGACAUAAAGAUUCAUAUAUUGGAAGGUUAUAUUCGGACAUCGGAAUGGUUCCGAGUGAUCCGGGUAUUUUUCCGGAGUAUCGAGGGGUUAUCGGAACCCCCGGGGAAGUUAAUGGGCCUUAGUGGAGAGAGGGAAGAAGGGCCGCGAGGCGGCGCGCGCCUCCCCCUGCCCAAACCGAAUUGGACAAGGUGUGGGGGCGCGACCCCCUCCUUCCUUCUCCUUCUCCCCUCCUUCCUUUCCCUCCGGUGGAAGAAAGGAAAAGGGGGGUGAAUCCUACUUGGACAAGGAGUCCAAGUAGGACUCCCCCUUGGCGCGCCCCUCCUGGCCGCCGGCCUCUAUCCCUUCGUCCUUUAUAUACGUGGCCAGGGGGCACCCCAAAGCACAAUAGACAAUCUCUUAGCCGUGUGUGGUGCCCCCCUCCACAGUUUAACACCUCGGUCAUAUCGUCGUAGUGCUUAGGCGAAGCCCUGCAUCGGUAACUUCAUCAUCACCGUCGCCACGCCGUUGUGCUGACGGGACUCUCCCUCGACCUCAACUGGAUUAAGAGCUCGAGGGACGUCACCGUGUUGAACGUGUGCUAAACAUGGAGGUGUCGUACGUUCGGUACUUGGAUCGGUUGGAUCGUGAAGACGUUCGACUACAUCAAUCGCGUUACUAAACGCUUCCGCUUUCGGUCUACGAGGGUACGUGGACACACUCUCCCCUCUCGUUGCUAUGCAUCUCCUAGAUAGAUCUUGCAUGAUCGUAGGAUUUUUUUGAAUUACUACAUUCCCCAACAGUGGCAUCCAAGCCAGGUCUAUGCGUAGAUGUUUAUAUGCACGAGUAGAACACAAUGAGUUGUGGGCGAUAAUAGUCUUACUGCUUACCAUCAACGUCUUACUUUGAUUUGGCGGUAUUGUUGGAUGAAGCGGCCCGGACCGACAUUACAUGAUUGCGUUCAUGAGACUGGUUCUACCGACGUGCUUCGCACACAGGUGGCUAGCGGGUGUCUGUUUCUCCAACUUUAGUUGAAUCGAGUUUGACUACGGUGGUCCUUGUUGAAGGUGAAAACAUCACACUUGAUGAAAAAUCGUUGUGGUUUCGAUGCGUAGGUAAGAACGGUUCUUGCUAGAAGCCCGUAGCAGCCACGUAAAACUUGCAACAACAAAGUGGAGGAUGUCUAACUUGUUUUUGCAGGGCAUGUUGUGAUGUGAUAUGGUCAAGACGUGAUGAGAUAUAAAUUGUUGUAUGAAAUGAUCAUGUUUUGUAGAAGUUAUCGGCAACUGGGAGGAGCCUUAUGGUUGUCGCUUUAUUGUAUGAAAUGCAAUCGCCAUGUAAUUGCUUUACUUUAUCACUAAGCGGUAGCGAUAGUCAUAGAAGCAAUAGUUGGCGAGACGACAAUGAUGCUAUGAUGGAGAUCAAGGUGUCAAGCCGGUGACGAUGGAGAUCAUGAUGGUGCUUUGGAGAUGGAGAUCAAAGGCACAAGAUGAUGAUGGCCAUAUCAUGUCACAUAUUUUUAUUGCAUGUGAUGUUUAUCCUUUAUGCAUCUUAUUUCGCUUAGUACAACGGUAGCAUUAUAAGAUGAUCCCUCACUAAAUUUCAAGGUAUAAGUGUUCUCCCUGAGUAUGCACCGUUGCUAUAGUUCGUCGUGCCGAGACACCACGUGAUGAUCGGGUGUGAUAAGCUCUACGUUCACAUACAACGGGUGCAAGCCAGUUUUGCACACGCAGAAUAAUCGGGUUAAACUUGACGAGCCAAGCAUAUGCAGAUAUGGCCUCGGAACACUGAGACCGAAAGGUCGAACGUGAAUCAUAUAGUAGAUAUGAUCAACAUAGUGAUGUUCACCAUUGAAAACUACUCCAUCUCACAUGAUGAUCGGACAUGGUUUAGUUGAUAUGGAUCACGUGAUCAUUUAGAUGACUAGAGGGAUGUCUAUCUAAGUGGGAGUUCUUAAGUAACAUGAUUAAUUGAAAUUUAAUUUAUCUUGAACUUAGUACCUGGUAGUUUUUUGCAUAUCUAUGUUGUUGUAGAUCAAUGGCCCGUGCUACCGUUCCCUUGAAUUUUAAUACGUUCCUAGAGAAAGCUAAGUUGAAAGAUGAUGGUAGCAAUUAGACGGAUUGGGUCCAUAACUUGAGGAUUAUCCUCAUUGCUGCACAGAAGAAUUACAUCCUGGAAGCAUCGCUAGGUGCAAGACCCGCUGCAGGAGCAACUCCGGAUGUUAUGAACGUCUGGCAGAGCAAAGCUGAUGACUACUCGAUAUUUCAGUGUGCCAUGCUUUACGACUUAGAAUCGGGACUUCAAAGACGUUUUGAACGUCAUGGAGCAUUUUAAAUGUUCCAGGAGUUGAAGUUAAUAUUUCAAGCAAAUGCCCGAGUUGAGAGAUAUGAAGUCUCCAACAAGUUCUAUAGCUGCAAGAUGGAGGAGAAUAGUUCUGCCAGUGAACACAUACUCAGAAUUUCUGGUUACCAUAACCACUUGACUCAGCUGGGAGUUAAUCUUCCUGAUGAUAGUGUCAUUGACAGAUUCUUCAAUCACUGCCACCAAGCUAUAAAGGAGUUCAUAUCCGAUCUAGGUGUAAUACCUAGUGCAUCGGGUCCAAUGAAAAUAUUUUGUGACAAUACUGGAGCAAUAGCCUUGGCGAAGGAAUCUAGAUUUCACAAGAACCAAACACAUCAAGAGGCGUUUCAAUUCCAUCCGCGAUCAAAUCAAGGAGGGAGACAUAGAGAUUUGCAAAAUACAUAUGAAUCUGAAUGUUGCAGACCCAUUGACUAAGCCUCUUCCAUGAGCAAAACAUGAUCAGCACCAAGACUCCAUGGGUGUUAGAAUCAUUACUGUGUAAUCUAGAUUAUUGACUCUAGUACAAGUGGGAGACCGAAGGAAAGAUGCCCUAGAGGCAAUAAUACAGUUGUUGUUUACAUUUCCUUAUGUCAUGAUAAAUGUUUAUUAUUCAUGCUAGAGUUGUAUUAACCAGAAACUUAGUACAUGUGUGAAUACAUAGACAAACAGAGUGUCCCUAGUAUGCCUCUACUUGACUUGCUCGUUAAUAAAACAUGGUUAAGUUUCCUACCCAUAGACAUGUGUUGUCAUUUAAUGAACGGGCCCAUCCGUUAGCUUAGCAUACUGAUCGUUUAGUUUUAUUGCUAUUGCUUUCUUCAUGACUUAUACAUGUUCCUCUGACUAUGAGAUUAGGCAACUCCCGAAUACCGGAGGAACACCUUGUGUGAUAUAAACUUCACAACGUAACUAGGUGAUUAUAAAGAUGCUCUACAGGUGUAUCCAAAUGUGAUAGCCUCGUUUUUGCCCUCUUUUCUUUUUUUGAUUUUGAUUGCCAUUUGUUUUUGAAUUUGGGCUUUUGAAUCAACUCAGUUGGACUUAAACCCUUGGGCAUACACUUGAUUUUCACCCAAGUGGCUCAUCUCUCCCUCAAACCAUCAUUUCCUCUCUGAUUAAUCCCAAAAUAAUCCUAGGAAUAUUUUUCCUAAAUGAAAAAUAUUCAUUUUCCCUUCAAAAACCCUUAUCAGCAACAUAUGCUCCAAAGCAACCCUCAUUUCUAUGGCUCCUAAAAUCCUGAGAAAAUUCCCAAAUAUUCUUUGAACCCUAGGGCACCUCCCUGAGCAAAAAUAUUGCAUCACUUUUUGUAAUAUUUUUGCCACAGAAAAUCAUUUCUGUUCUGGACAAAUUUGGCACUUUACACAGCAAGUAUAUUUUUCCUUGAUCCUAUGAGGCUGAUUUUUCUUGAGCUUCAUCACCUUCCUAAGAAGCUACUAACCACCAAAAAUCAGCCCUAAACUCUCUUUGGUUUGAUCACAAUUAACCUCACAAGUUUCUGACCAGAAACUUCCCAGGAAGAAACCGACUCCCACAGCGCACCUGUGAUCAACUCGAACCCAUGGAGUGACUCGGCUCAUCAAGAACAACACGCCAGACAUGAAUUUAUGGCAAGCUGUGGCUCUAUGCCAGAGUUCGCACGGUGACCAUGCGUGUGCAUGAUGCCAAUGUGCUAGUCGACGCGCUCUGGAUGCCGUUGAGUGCUCUGUUCAACGCGUGCUCGCUUCCCACCAUGCCGCGCCUUGCCAAACCUCGCCACAAUCGCCGUCCCGACGCCCUUAACUCACCCUGGCGCUCGCCGACGCCGGAGCUCGCCGCAGCAAGCACGGGCACGACGCGGCCAAACCAAUAGUGCGCCCGUGCCCACUGUGCUCAUCGCCACACGCGCCCUGUGCUCGUCUCCGCUCGCCCACAGUUGCUGCGUGAACCACGAAGUCUUCCCCCUCUCUCACUGACGCAAAUCGUCGCCGGGCGCCAUUUCCAGAGAACUCCAGCAGAGCCCCGAGCACCUCUCCCCCUCGCCUAUAAAUACAACCCCUCCCAAGCCUCUCCGAGCAUCGCCAACCACUCCUACACAGUCCACAACGCAGUAGAAAGCCGUAGCCCGGACUGGCAGGCCUUGGGCCGCCGUCCCCGGGCUCGAGCUCGCCGGCGAUCCCCUCUGUUCGCCACCACCCCUCCAGCCCCUCCCAAGCUCGUGCAUCUACUCAGGCGUCUCCACGGUGCUUCUCUGGUGCCCACUGAACCAGUCGGAGGCCCUGGAAUCGACUCCCUCCGCUGUCUCCCUCAACUCCGGCGAGACCCGACCGCAGCCGCCGCCUGUGAGCUUGGUUUUGAGCUACUUCGGCCACCUCUCGCCAAGCUACGGGUACAGGCAGGUGCGCCUCAACCUCCUCUCGCAUCCUAUCCCUCUGGAUCUGGCCAAGGAGCACUCCUCACCGGCAUGAGCUCCGGCGAAGCCUCGCCGGACUCUGAUUCUCUCUCUCCCGCAUUCACACCUGGCCAGCGGGGCCCACUAUCAGCCUCUCCACUCGCGCCCGAAGCGGUGCGAGUGGAGGCGUAUUCAGAGAAUACGCCAUCGACGUCACUCCCUGGUUUCUGUUUUAUUUAAAUUUAAUUCAAAUUUUGACCAGCCAUAUAUUUUAAACCAUAAGUCCAAAUGGAUUGAUUCUUUUUGCAUUGUGUUUAUUUUGAAAAAUUCUAGCAGCACACCAAAUGUAGAUUUUUCUCUGCUGUCUAGAAUUUCUGGUGAUUCUUAAUAUUUUCUUUCCUUGUUUUUGAAUAUUUUCAGAAGGUGAAGCUUGUCUUGAGGAUCACCAGGAGGAGUGAGAACCUCAUCUGAACUAAGGCAAGCCACAACAACAUUUUCAUGGUGUCAUUUCAGUGUUUGUGAUUUUUCCAACUUGAAUAUGAGUUAUCUCAUGCAUUUAAAUUAUGUAAAUGAAUAAUUAUUUCUGUUGGAUACUUGCCUUGCUUGAAAUGCUUGGUUACAGUAGUUUGAAACUAACUAAGUUAGUUUUAGUCAGUAAAGAUAAUAUUUGGUUAUGUGAUAAUGAAAUGAUUAUGAAAUGACUAGUUUUGUUAUUAUUUUCGUAAGUAAGAAAAUGGAUAAUGUUAAGAUAAUAUCAUGGUUAAAUUUGAUAAAGUAUAAUAACCAGAGGAUUGGAAUGAGUUUGUAUUGAUGGUGAUGAUUGUUAGUAAAAUACUUGAUGAUGUUGAUCCGCUUAUUUUGAUGGUAUAUGAUGCAUGAUGAAUGGUUGCAUUUUCAUGGCAUAUCAUGACACCGGAUAUUUUUUUAAGUUAAACUUGUUAAUAACUCAACUUGAACCUACCGUUGAUCGGGUCAUGGUGCCACUGAAUCGAGUUCUUUCCCAGUGCAACCACAUUUGCCUUUAUGGGAAGGCCUUUAUUUAGUCCGUUGUCAUGCCUCUAGUCGGUACCUCCAACGAGGGAAGGUUAUGAGUGUGCGUUACCCUGGCCCGGUAAGCAGACAUAACCUUGUGUGCCCAUUUGUUGUUAUGGUACCUUGUCCCCGUUUGGGACCGUUUAUGUUUUGCCACGACGGUGGCCGUUGAUGCCUUUGGUAGGCACGGGGCCACCCAGGACUUAGCCCAGUGGGGAGUGAGUCGGAGUGGCCGGGAAAGUCUCAUGGAAAUGGGAGGGUUUCGUCGAAAUGCUAUUGGUCCACCCGAAUGGGAGUGCGAGGUCGUGGAUUUCGUGGUGUGGGUAAAGAGCGCUACCUCCGCAGAGUGUAUUUAAUCUAUUGAUAGCCGCGUCCUCGGUUACGGACACAACUCGGAAGUAGGUCACACCAUGGAUCAACAUUUAUAAAUAAUCGUGCACACUAAUGAUAUUCACUUGGCACUGUUUGAAAGAUGAUGGUUGAGAAGUUAUGAUGAUGGUGAAACCAAAGUGUGGUUUGGUAAGUGGUCUGAAUAUGAUCACCGUUUGGUUACGAGGUAACCCGUUCGGUAAGGGAAGUCCGAGGGACUAGGUGCACGAGUUAUGUUCACUGCAUUUGUAGUAGGCCUUUGCAUUGAUAUUAAUUUGAUAUCAUGAUAUCGCCAUUAUGUUUAUGCUUGUUGUGAGCUUGCAAGUAAAUUCAAUGUACUGACCUGGCGUGUCAUGCCAGUUUUCAGGAAAGUCUAACUGGAUCGAAGUGCUGCCGUGUCUAGAUCGUGUCCACAUCGGUGUCCCUGUGCUAUGGAGUUCCACUUCGUCGUCGUUCCGCUGCCGCGUAGUUGUCGUGAUCGAGGCCCCUUUAUGUUCACUAAAUAAUGUACAUAUUGUUCAGCCGCACCGUGUAUGCCGCCUGGCCUCGCAACUUGAUGUAAAUAUCAAACUAUGUUCCGCUAGUAUCAAUAAAAGCGGUUGCUUUCUGUACCAUGAUGUUGUGUGUUGCCAGAAGACUCGAUCUCUGGGCUGGCAAUGCAAGGUAAACUGGUCGCUCUGAGCUGGGGUGCCACAACGCUUGGUAUCGGAGCCGCGCUGACUGUAGGACACCAUAGACUACUGACGCCUUAAUUAAAUGUUAGUUAGGUUUGAGUUUCAGUGCGGGUAUUGUUUUGCAUCUGAUUGUUGCAUGGCAUGCACUUGAGUUAUCAUUAUUUCUAACCGACUAAUGGAUUGUGAGUGUAGAUGGCUCCAGUGUCGUAUCCGUGCCAGUUGGAGCUGCUGCCGCACACGUCGCCACACCUUCUUCGGAAUGUAUGGCGCCGACUCUACCCUCACGGCGACGACCCAGUGUAUCGGUUGUACCGGGAGCGUCUAGCAGACUCAGUGUAUGAGUAUCACGCAGUGGUUACUCUGCGCGCCAGUACCACCUCAGGCUCUUACACUCGUACCUCUAGGAGUGGUUUUGCUUCCACCAUCGCUCAGGCUGUCCAGUUCGUUGCGUUUGAGGUCCUCAUUGAGCUUCGCUACAACGAGAUUCAGAUGCAGACCCAUCCAGGUUUCCACUACUAUCCAUCCAUGUACAACGAUGGUCGCAUCUGUUUCCCUACCAUUGAUGCGGCAUCCGAUAGCGCUGCUAGCCACCUUUCCCGUUACAUCACUGCUAGUUAUCUUUUGAUCCACGAGCUGGCUCGAGAGCUGACUCAUGCUCAUACUGCUUUAGUAGCCGCUAGGUCCCAGUCCGCUCCUACUUCCACGGGAUUUACUCAUUAUGUUGCACCUAGUUCCAGUUCGCUUGUUCCCCCGAUUACUCCUUAGAGUAGCUCGGUCCCAUCGACCGUGACUCUCCACACUACCCCUGCUGAGUGGGCUUCCCUUCUAGCUACCCCUGCAGCCCCGAUGCUCCAGCCUCAUCCUGCACCUGCCCCUGAGGGAGAGCCCUCGAGGCAGCGUGGUCGUGUUACCUUUAACUCAGAGGUCUCUGUUAACACCGUCGUUCAGGCUUCGAGUCCGCUUCAGGAGAGGACCCAGCAGGACCAGCAGAGCACUAGAGUAUCCAAGUAACCGCAGUCAUCAUGUUGAUGUGCGGAUGUAGUCGUACCAGUCAUGAUGUUUCAUUGCAUGUAUGAGAGUAGUCGUGCUGAUCAUGAUGUUUAUCUUUCAUGUAUAAGUCUAUGUAUAAUUAUGUUGGAACUUUUUAUUAUUUGUUGUGUUUGUUUUUCUUUUGAUAUUCUGUUUUCGAUUCUUCCUGGUUUAUCGCUGGCUUUUCCCUACUAUUUUGGAUGUUGCUCAUCACGGUUGCUUUAUAUUGGGAAAAACAAAUAAUAGGACAAUAUGGGGAGGCAGCAGCAGUCACGCUUGUGAGGAUGUCCCUGUUCGCCGCUCAGCACGACAGGCAGGGCAUUCCCCCGAGCCGUACAAUCCACCACCGCCUCCACCGCCGUAUCCGCCCUCCACUGAACAAAUUAUGCGCAUGUUUGAGGAAAGAAGGAAUAAUGAUCUGAUUGAAUUAUUGAAAAGUGUACAAGCCAUGGUUGGACAGAAUGGGAAUCAGAAUGGCCACGACUCCAAGCCGUCAGAUUUUUAGAGAACCAAGCCGCCCAGUUUCAGUCAAGUUGUCGAUCCAUAGGAGGCUUAUGACUGGUUAAGGACCAUUAAGAAAAAGCUUGAAAUUGCUCGUACUAAAGAAGAGGAUAAGGUUCCGUUUGCUACGCAUUAUCUCGAAGGAGCUGCCGCUAUAUGGUGGGAUAAUGCUAAAGCCAUGUGGUCUGCGGACGAAGAAAUCACUUGGAUUAAAUUCAAGGACCAUUUCCGCAAGUACCACAUUCCCGCUGGCAUUAUGAAGGUCAAGCAGCGUGAAUUUCUCGCGCUCACCCAAGGAAGCAUGUGUGUCAAUGAGUAUCUGCACAUGUUCAGUCAUUUGGCCUGUUAUUCUCUUUAUGAUGUGGCCACGGAAGAAAGAAAGGUUGAUCAAUUUCUUGGAGGACUAAACCAACACCUCAGAUGCACUCUCAGUAUGUUUGAUUUCCCAGAUUUCCAAACUCUGGUAAACAAGGCCCUCAUUGCUGAAAGGGAACACAAGCUAGUGCAUGACAAUAAGCCUACAAAUAAUGAUCACAAGCGCAAGUUUGAGCCUAAAAAGGAUGGCCAGCCAAUGGAGAAGGCUCGAACUUGGCAACAGACUCAGGUAGAGUACAAGCCCAAUUGGCAGCAGAAUGUGAACAAGACCACUACCCAAGUCAAAAAUGUCGUAACCAGCCCGGUGCGAGAAGAAUGUCAGCGCAACAAUUCAUGUUUCAAUUGUGGACAAACCGGACAUUAUGCAAGACAGUGUCCCAAGAACGGCAAGACGAAUGCUCCAUUCAGGACACAAGUCAACCAUCUGGGGUCGUGCCCUGUCCAGCGAACCAUCCAAGGGCAAGUUCACCAUCUCUCCGCAGACGAAGCCCAAGAGGACCCCGAAGUCGUCAUUGGUAUGUUUCCUGUUAAUAACAUACCUGCCAUAAUUUUAUUUGACUCUGGGGCUUCCCACUUAUUUCGCGGAGUUUUGUUGCCCAAAACAAAUUUCCUUGUUCGAUCUUGAAAAAGAAUAUGCUGGUACAAUCCCCAGGAUCCUUGCUCAGAAGCAAUCUGGCCUGCCAUAAUUUGGAAAUUGAUAUCAAAGGAGUCGGUUUCACAACUUCAUUGAUAGUCAUCGAGUUUGCCAAGUUGGACAUUAUUUUGGGAAUGAACUGGGUUGACCCAAUAUCAAGUAUGCAUCAACUGUGCGACCAGAGAAGUCACCUUGACGAGUCAAGACGGUCGAAUUACAAAGUUCUAUGCCUGCCAAAGCAUACCCAAGAAAGAAAUGGUCUUCACCGUUGUAGCUGAAGAGUUGGGAUUAAUUCCUGUGGUCAGUGAAUUUCCAGAUGUAUUCCCUGAAGAAUUGCCAGGAAUGCCGCCAGACCGAGAGCUUGAGUUUGCAAUUGAUCCUGUGCCCGGGACCGCACCAUUAUAGAAGAAGUAUUAUCGGAUGCCUUAGUCAGAAUUGGUGGAAUUAAAGAAACAACUUGAUGAGAUGCUCCAGAAAGGUUAUAUCCGUCCAAGCUCUUCACCAUGGGGAUCACCCGCAAUAUUUGUGGACAAGAAAGACGGUAGUAUCCGUAUGUAGUGUGACGCUUGCAGGCAAGGUCUUGGAUGCGUACUCAUGCAAGAUGGCAAGGUUGUAGCAUACGCAUCUCACCAGCUACGACCCCAAGAAGGGAACUAUCCUACUCAUGAUUUGGAGUUGGCCGCGGUUGUUCACGCUUUAAAAUUUUGGAGACACUAUCUCAUUGGAAAAAGGUGUCAGAUAUUUACCGAUCACAAAAGUCUGAAGUAUAUAUUCACCCAACUGGACUUAAACCUCCACCAGCGAAGAUGGCUCGAAUUAGUCAAGGAUUGUGACCUUGGGAUUAAUUAUCACCCGGGUAAGGCCAACGUGGUAGCCGAUGCGCUAAGCCGCAAGCCUGCCAGUCUAAAUGCCAUAAUGGAGUCCCUGCCUCCUAAACUUCAAGAAGAGAUCACUCGGCUCAAUUUGGUUAUUGUGGAUGCUGAUCUUGCAAAUAUAAUGGAAGUUACCCCUACCCUCGAGGAUGAAUCUGCAGGGCCCAGUCUGGCGAUCCAGUUCUACAAAAACAUGUCAAGCAUAUGUUAGGAGGCCAGACACAAGAUUUCUCUAAGGAUUAGCAAGGUACACUAAGGUUCCGAGGAAGGAUUUGUGUACCUGGUCAAGUAGACUGAAGGAAGAAGAUCUUGACAGAAGCGCAUGAGUCCUCGUAUUCCAUUCACCCCGGAGGUACUAAAAUGUAUGAAUACCUUCGGCAAAUAUUUUGGUGGGAUGGGAUGAAGAAAGACAUCGCCUAUUCUGUGGCUUGUUGCGAUAUAUGCAACAAAGUGAAGGUAGAACACCAGAAACCAGCCGGACUCCUCCAACCUUUGCCCGUUCCGCAAUGGAAGUGGGAUGAUGUCUGUAUGGAUUUUAUCACAUGACUACCAAGGACUCAUCAAGGCAAUGAUGUAGUAUGGGUUGUGGUGGACACAUUGACCAAGGUAGCUCAUUUCAUUUCCAUCAGAACCACUUACCGAGCCGAUCAGCUCGCACAAUUGUAUGUGUCCAGAAUAGAAAGUCUGCAUGGAGUACCAAGAACUAUCACUUCCGACAGGGGGUCACUUUUUACCUUCGCUUUCUGGUCACGUCUCCAUCAAGCCUUGGGGACCGCACUAAAAUAUAGCACAGCCUAUCAUCCUCAGACAGAUGAGCAGACAGAGCGAGUAAACCAAAUAAUCGAAGAUAUGCUUCGAGCAUGUGCUUUGGCCCAAGGACCCAAAUGGGAAGAUUGUCUGCCAUAUGCCGAGUUCUCCUACAACAACAGCUUCCAGACCAGCCUAAAGAUGUCCCCCUAUGAAGCUCUGUAUGGUCGUAAGUGCCGCACUCCGCUAAAUUGGUCUCAAACCGGAGAUAGCCGUAUUUUCAGGAUUGAUCUAAUGAUGGAAGCUGAAAAGCAAGUCAAGGAAAUCCGAGACAGAUUACAGUUGGCUAAGUCCCGACAGAAGAGUUAUUAUGAUGCAAAGCACCGUCGGAUCAGUUUUGAACCCGGAGAGCAUGUAUACCUCCGAGUCACCCUAUGAAAGAAGUCAAAAGAUUUUAGACUCGCGGAAAAUUGGCACCCAGAUAUAUUGGUCCAUUCCCAAUAAUGUCCAGAGUGGGUACUGUUGCGUAUCAGUUGGAAUUGCCCCCGGAGUUGUCAGAAGUGCACAAUGUGUUCCAUGUCUCACCGAUAAGAUGAUGUAUAUCACCUCCAGAGAAAAAGACUGAUAUGUCAUAAUUAGAGCUGGCUAAGGAUUUAACAUAUGAGGAAAAACCGUUCAGAAUCUUGGAUGAGAUGGAAAGGGUCACUUGUAGAAAAGCAAUAAAAUUUUACAAGCUUCAGUGGGAGCAUCACACCGAGGAAGAGGCAACUUGGGAACGAGAGGAAUUUCUAAAGGCAACCUAUCCAGAAUUGUUUUCCUGAGCAACCGAAUCUCGAGGACGAGAUUCAUCCUAAGUGGGGGAGGUUUGUGACAGCCUGGUCUUUGCCCUCUUUUCUUUUUCUGAUUUUGAUUGCCAUUUGAUUUGAAUUUGGGCUUUUCAAUCAACUCAGUUGGACUUAAACCCUUGGGCAUACACUUGAUUUUCACCCAAGUGGCUCAUCUCUCCCUCAAGCCAUCAUUUCCUCUCUGAUUAAUCCCAAAAUAAUCCUAGGAAUAUUUUUCCUAAAUGAAAAAUAUUCAUUUUCCCUUCAAAAACCCUUAUCAGCAACAUAUGCUCCAAAGCAACCCUCAUAUUUAUGGCUCCUAAAAUCCUGAGAAAACCCCCAAAUAUUCUUUGAACCCUAGGGCACCUCCGUGAGCAAAAAUAUUGCAUCACUUUUUGUAAUAUUUUUGCCACAGAAAAUCAUUUCUCUUCUGGACAGAUUUGGCACUUUACACAGCAAGUAUAUUUUUCCUUGAUCCUAUGAGGCUGAUUUUUCUUGAGCUUCAUUACCUUCCUAAGAACCUACUAACCACCAAAAAUCAGCCCUAAACUCUCUUCGGUUUGAUCACAAUUAACCUCACAAGUUUCUGACCAGAAACUUCCCAGGAAGAAACCGACUCCCACAGCGCACCUGUGAUCAAUUCGAACCCAUGGAGUGACUCAGCUCAUCAAGAACAACACGCCAGACAUGAAUUUAUGGCAAGCUGUGGCUCUAUGCCAGAGUUCGCGCGGUGACCACGCGUGUGCAUGAUGCCAAUGUCUAGUCGACGCGCUCUGGAUGCCGUCGAGUGCUCUGUUCAACGCGUGCUCGCUUCCCACCAUGCCGCGCCUUGCCAAACCUCGCCACAAUCGUCGUCCCGACGCCCUUAACUCACCCUGGCGCUCGCCGACGCCGGAGCUCGCCGCAGCAAGCACGGGCAUGACGCGGCCAAACCAACAAUGCGCCCGUGCCCACUGUGCUCAUCGCCAGACACGCCAUGUGCUCGUCUCCGCUCGCCCAUAGUUGCUGCGUGAACCACGACGUCUUCCCCCUCUCUCACUGACGCAAAUCGUCGCCGGGCUCCACUUCCAGAGAACUCCAGCAGAGCCCCGAGCACCUCUCCCCCUCGCCUAUAAAUACAACCCCUCCCCAGCCUCUCCGAGCAUCACCAACCACUCCUACACAGUCCACAACGCAGUAGAAAGCCGUAGCCCGGACUGGCAGGCCUCGGGCCGCCGUCCCCGAGCUCGAGCUCGCCGGCGAUCCCCUCUGUUCGCCACCACCCCUCCAGCCCCUCCCAAGCUCGUGCAUCUACUCAGGCGUCUCCACGGUGCUUCUCUGGUGCCCACUGAACCAGUCGGAGCCCCUGGAAUUGACUCCCUCCGCUGUCUCCCUCAACUCCGGCGAGACCCGACCGCAGCCGCCGCCUGUGAGCUUGGUUUCGAGCUACUCCGGGCACCUCUCGCCAAGCUACGGGUACAGGCAGGUGCGCCUGAACCUCCUCUUGCGUCAUAUCCCUCUGGAUCUGGCCAAGGAGCACUCCUCACCGGCAUGAGCUCCGGCGAAGCCUCGCCGGGCUCUGUUUCUCUCUCUCUCUCCCCCCUUCACACCUGGCCAGCGGGGCCCACUAUCAGCCUCUCCACUCGUGCCUGAAGCGGUACGAGUGGAUGCGUAUUCAGAGAAUACGCCAUCGACGUCACCCCCUGGUUUCUGUUUUAUUUAAAUUUAAUUCAAUUUUUUACCAGAAACUUUGACCAGCCAUAUAUUUUAAACCAUAAGUCCAAAUGGAUAGAUUCUUUUUGCAUUGUGUUUAUUUUGAAAAAUUCUAGCAGCACACCAAAUGUAGAUUUUUCUCUGCUGUCUAGAAUUUAUGGUAAUUCUUAAUAUUUUCUUUCCUUGUUUUUGAAUAUUUUCAGAAGGUGAAGCUUGUCUUGAGGAUCACCAGGAGGAGUGUGAACCUCAUCUGAACUAAGGCAAGCCACAACAACAUUUUCAUGGUGUCAUUUCAGUGUUUGUGAUUUUUCCAACUUGAAUAUGAGUUAUCUCAUGCAUUUAAAUUAUUUAAAUGAAUAAUUAUUUCUGUUGGAUACUUACCUUGCUUGAAAUGCUUGGUUACAGUAGUUUGAAACUAACUAAGUUAGUUUUAGUCAGUAAAGAUAAUAUUUGGUUAUGUGAUAAUGAAAUGAUUAUGAAAUGACUAGUUUUGUUAUUAUUUUUGUAAGUAAGAAAAUGGAUAAUGUUAAGAUAAUAUCAUGGUUAAAUUUGAUAAAGUAUAAUAACCAGAGGAUUGGAAUGAGUUUGUAUUGAUGGUGAUGAUUGUUAGUAAAAUACUUGAUGAUGUUGAUCCGCUUAUUUUGAUGGUAUAUGAUGCAUGAUGAAUGGUUGCAUUUUCAUGGCAUAUCAUGACACCGGAUAUUUUUUUAAGUUAAACUUGUUAAUAACUCAACUUGAACCUACCGUUGAUCGGGUCAUGGUGCCACUGAAUCGAGUUCUUUCCCAGUGCAACCACAUUUGCCUUUAUGGGAAGGCCUUUAUUUAGUCCGUUGUCAUGCCUCUAGUCGGUACCUCCAACGAGGGAAGGUUAUGAGUGUGCGUUACCCUGGCCCGGUAAGCAGACAUAACCUUGUGUGCCCAUUUGUUGUUAUGGUACCUUGUGCCCGUUUGGGACCGUUUAUGUUUUGCCACGACGGUGGCCGUUGAUGCCUUUGGUAGGCACGGGGCCACCCAGGACUUAGCCCAGUGGGGAGUGAGUCGGAGUGGCCGGGAAAGUCUCAUGGCAAUGGGAGUGUUUCGUCGGAAUGCUAUUGGUCCACCCGAAUGGGAGUGCGAGGCCGUGGAUUUCGUGGUGUGGGUAAAGAGCGCUACCUCCGCAGAGUGUAUUUAAUCUAUUGAUAGCCGCGUCCUCGGUUACGGACACAACUCGGAAGUAGGUCACACCAUGGAUUAACAUUUAUAAAUAAUCAUGCACACUAAUGAUAUUCACUUGGCACUGUUUGAAAGAUGAUGGUUGAGAAGUUAUGAUGAUGGUGAAACCAAAGUGUGGUUUGGUAAGUGGUCUGAAUAUGAUCACCGUUUGGUUACGAGCUAACCCGUUCGGUAAGGAAAGUCCGAGGGUCUUGGUGCACGAGUUAUGUUCACUUCAUUUGUAGUAGGCCUUUGCAUUGAUAUUAAUUUGAUAUCAUGAUAUUGUUCGCCAUUAUGUUUAUGCUUGUUGUGAGCUUGCAAGUACAUUCAAUGUACUGACCUAGCGUGUCAUGCCAGUUUUCAGGAAAGUCUAACUGGAUUGAAGUGCUGCCGUGUCUAGAUCGUGUCCACAUCGGUGUCCCUGUGCUAUGGAGUUCCACUUCGUCGUCAUUCCGCUGCCGCGUAGUUGUCGUGAUCGAGGCCCCUUUAUGUUCACUAAAUAAUGUACAUAUUGUUCAGCCGCACCGUGUAUGCCUCCUGGCCUCGCAACUUGAUGUAAAUAUCAAACUAUGUUCCGCUAGUAUCAAUAAAAGCGGUUGCUUUCUGUACCAUGAUGUUGUGUGUUGCCAGAAGACUCGAUCUCUGGGCUGGCAAUGCAAGGUAAACUGGUCGCUCUGAGCUGGGGUGCCACAACGCUUGGUAUCAGAGCCGCGCUGACUGUAGGACACGCUAGACUACUGACGCCUUAAUUAAAUGUUAGUUAGGUUCGAGUUUUAGUGCGGGUAUUGUUUUGCAUCUGAUUGUUGCAUGGCAUGCACUUGAGUUAUUAUUAUUUCUAACCGACUAAUGGAUUGUGAGUGUAGAUGGCUCCAGUGUCGUAUCCGUGCCAGUUGGAGCUGCUGCCGCACACGUCGCCGCACCUUUCUUCGGAAUGUAUGGCGCCGACUCUACCCUCACGGUGACGACCCAGUGUAUCGGUUGUACCGGGAGCGUCUAGCAGACUCAAUGUAUGAGUAUCACGCAGUGGUUACCACCUCAGGCUCUUACACUCGUACCUCUAGGAGUGGUUUUGCUUCCACCAUCGCUCAGGCUGUCCAGUUCAUUGCGUUUGAGGUCCUCGUUGAGCUUCGCUACAACGAGAUUCAGAUGCAGACCCAUCCAGGUUUCCACUACUAUCCAUCCAUGUACAACGAUGGUCGCAUCUGUUUCCCUACCAUUGAUCCGGCAUCCGAUAGCGCUGCUAGCCACCUUUCCCGUUACAUCACUGCUAGUUAUCUUUUGAUCCACGAGCUGGCUCGAGAGCUGACUCAUGCUCGUACUGCUUUAGUAGCCGCUAGGUCCCAGUCCGCUCCUACUUCCACGGGAUUUACUCAUUAUGUUGCACCUAGUUCCAGUUCGCUUGUUCCCCCGAUUACUCCUCAGAGUAGCUCAGUCCCAUCGACCAUGACUCUCCACACUACCCCUGCUGAGUGGGCUUCCCUUCUAGCUACCCCUGCAGCCCCGAUGCUCCAGCCUCAUCCUGCACCUGCCCCUGAGGAAGAGCCCUCGAGGCAGCGUGGUCGUGUUACCUUUAACUCAGAGGUCUCUGUUAACACCGUCGUUCAGGCUCCGAGUCCGCUUCAGGAGAGGACCCAGCAGGACCAGCAGAGCACUAGAGUAUCCAAGUAACCGCAGUCGUCAUGUUGAUGUGCGGAUGUAGUCGUACCAGUCAUGAUGUUUCAUUGCAUGUAUGAGAGUAGUCGUGCUGAUCAUGAUGUUUAUCUUUCAUGUAUAAGUCUAUGUAUAAUUAUGUUGGAACUUUUUAUUAUUUGUUGUGUUUGUUUUUCUUUUGAUAUUCUGUUUUCGAUUCUUCCUGGUUUAUCGCUGGCUUUUCCCUACUAUUUUGGAUGUUGCUCAUCACGGUUGCUUUAUAUUGGGAAAAACAAAUAAUAGGACAAUAUGGGGAGGCAGCAGCAGUCACGCUUGUGAGGAUGUCCCUGUUCGCCGCUCAGCACGACAGGCAGGGCAUUCCCCCGAGCCGUACAAUUCACCACCGCCUCCACCGCCGUAUCCGCCCUCCACGGAACAAAUUAUGUGCAUGUUUGAGGAAAGAAGGAAUAAUGAUCUGAUUGAAUUAUUGAAAAGUGUACAAGCCAUGGUUGGACAGAAUGGGAAUCAGAAUGGCCAUGACUCCAAGCUGUCAGAUUUUCAGAGAACCAAGCCGCCCAGUUUCAGUCAAGUUGUCGAUCCAUUGGAGGCUUAUGACUGGUUAAGGACCAUUAAGAAAAAGCUUGAAAUUUCUCGUACUGAAGAAGAGGAUAAGGUUCCGUUUGCUAUGCAUUAUCUCGAAGGAGCUGCCGCUAUAUGGUGGGAUAAUGCUAAAGCCAUGUGGUCUGCGGACGAAGAAAUCACUUGGAUUAAAUUCAAGGACCAUUUCCGCAAGUACCACAUUCCCGCUGGCAUUAUGAAGGUCAAGCAGUGUGAAUUUCUCGCGCUCACCCAAGGAAGCAUGUGUGUCAAUGAGUAUCUGCACAAGUUCACUCAUUUGGCCUGUUAUUCUCUUUAUGAUGUGGCCACCGAAGAAAGAAAGGUUGAUCAAUUUCUUGGAGGACUAAACCAACACCUCAGAUGCACUCUCAGUAUGUUUGAUUUCCCAGAUUUCCAAACUCUGGUAAACAAGGCCCUCAUUGCUGAAAGGGAACACAAGCUAGUGCAUGACAAUAAGCCUACAAAUAAUGAUCACAAGCGCAAGUUUGAGCCUAAAAAGGAUGGCCAGCCAAUGGAGAAGGCUCGCACUUGGCAACAGACUCAGGUAGAGUACAAGCCCAAUUGGCAGCAGAAUGUGAACAAGACCACUACCCAAGUCAAAAAUGUCGUAACCAGCCCGGUGCGAGAAGAAUGUCAGCGCAACAAUUCAUGUUUCAAUUCUAGACAAACCGGACAUUAUGCAAGACAGUGUCCCAAGAACGGCAAGACGAAUGCUCCAUUCAGGACACAAGUCAACCAUCUGGGGUCGUGCCCUGUCCAGCGAACCAUCCAAGGGCAAGUUCACCAUCUCUCCGCAGACGAAGCCCAAGAGGACCCCAAAGUCGUCAUUGGUAUGUUUCCUGUUAAUAACAUACCUGCCAUAAUUUUAUUUGACUCUGGGCUUCCCACACUUUUAUUUCGCGGAGUUUUGUUGCCCAAAACAAAUUUCCUUGUUCGAUCUUGAAAAAGAAUAUGCUGGUACAAUCCCCGGGAUCCUUGCUCUGAAGCAAUCUGGCCUGCCGUAAUUUGGAAAUUGAUAUCAAAGGAGUCGGUUUCACAACUUCCUUGAUAGUCAUCGAGUUUGCCAAGUUGGACAUUAUUUUGGGAAUGAACUGGUUGACCCAAUAUCAAGUAUGCAUCAACUGUGCGACCAGAGAAGUCACCUUGACGAGUCAAGAAGGUUGAAUUACAAAGUUCUAUGCUCGCUGAAGCAUACCCAAGAAAGAAAUGGUCUUCACCGUUGUAGCUGAAGAGUUGGGAUUAAUUCAUGUGGUCAGUGAAUUUCCAGAUGUAUUCCCUGAAGAAUUGCCAGGAAUGCCGCCAGACCGAGAGCUUGAGUUUGCAAUUGAUCCUGUGCCCGGGACCGCACCAUUAUAGAAGAAGUAUUAUCGGAUGCCUUAGUCAGAAUUGGUGGAAUUAAAGAAACAACUUGAUGAGAUGCUCCAGAAAGGUUAUAUCCGUCCAAGCUCUUCACCAUGGGGAUCACCCGCAAUAUUUGUGGACAAGAAAGACGGUAGUAUCUGUAUGUAGUGUGACGCUUGCAGGCAAGGUCUUGGAUGCGUACUCAUGCAAGAUGGAAAGGUUGUAGCAUACGCAUCUCACCAGCUACGACCCCAAGAAGGGAACUAUCCUACUCAUGAUUUGGAGUUGGCCGCGGUUGUUCACGCUUUAAAAUUUUGGAGACACUAUCUCAUUGGAAAAAGGUGUCAGAUAUUUACCGAUCACAAAAGUCUGAAGUAUAUAUUCACCCAACCGGACUUAAACCUCCACCAGCGAAGAUGGCUCGAAUUAGUCAAGGAUUGUGACCUUGGGAUUAAUUAUCACCCGGGUAAGGCCAACGUGGUAGCCGAUGCGCUAAGCCGCAAGCCUGCCAGUCUAAAUGCCAUAAUGGAGUCCCUGCCUCCUAAACUUCAGGAAGAGAUCACUCGGCUCAAUUUGGUUAUUGUGGAUGCUGAUCUUGCAAAUAUAAUGGAAGUUACCCCUACCCUCGAGGAUGAAUCUGCAGGGCCCAGUCUGGCGAUCCAGUUCUACAAAAACAUGUCAAGCAUAUGUUAGGAGGCCAGACACAAGAUUUCUCUAAGGAUUAGCAAGGUACACUAAGGUUCCGAGGAAGGAUUUGUGUACCUGGUCAAGUAGACUGAAGGAAGAAGAUCUUGACAGAAGCGCAUGAGUCCUCGUAUUCCAUUCACCCCGGAGGUACUAAAAUGUAUGAAUACCUUCGGCAAAUAUUUUGGUGGGAUGGGAUGAAGAAAGACAUCGCCUAUUCUGUGGCUUGUUGCGAUAUAUGCAACAAAGUGAAGGCAGAACACCAGAAACCAGCCGGACUCCUCCAACCUUUGCCCGUUCCGCAAUGGAAGUGGGAUGAUGUCUGUAUGGAUUUUAUCACAUGACUACCAAGGACUCAUCGAGGCAAUGAUGUAGUAUGGGUUGUGGUGGACACAUUGACCAAGGUAGCUCAUUUCAUUUCCAUCAGAACCACUUACCGAGCCGAUCAGAUCGCACAAUUGUAUGUGUCCAGAAUAGAAAGUCUGCAUGGAGUACCAAGAACUAUCACUUCCGACAGGGGGUCACUUUUUACCUCCGCUUUCUGGUCACGUCUCCAUCAAGCCUUGGGGACCGCACUAAAAUAUAGCACAGCCUAUCAUCCUCAGACAGAUGAGCAGACAGAGCGAGUAAACCAAAUAAUCGAAGAUAUGCUUCGAGCAUGUGCUUUGGCCCAAGGACCCAAAUGGGAAGAUUGUCUGCCAUAUGCCGAGUUCUCCUACAAUAACAGCUUCCAGACCAGCCUAAAGAUGUCACCCUAUGAAGCUCUGUAUGGUCGUAAGUGCCGCACUCAUCUAAAUUGGUCUCAAACCGGAGAUAGCCGUAUUUUCGGGAUUGAUCUAAUGAUGGAAGUUGAAAAGCAAGUCAAGGAAAUCCGAGACAGAUUACAGUUGGCUAAGUCCCGACAAAAGAGUUAUUAUGAUGAAAAGCACCGUCAGAUCAGUUUUGAACCCGAAGAGCAUGUAUACCUCCGAGUCAGCCUAUGAAAGAAGUCAAAAGAUUUUAGACUCGCGGAAAAUUGGCACCCAGGUAUGAGACCUCUGACAAGUUUCUUAAGCCUGCAAACUAAGGGAGAAAAGCUCAAUCGUUGAGCAUGUGCUCAGAUUGUCUGAGUACCACGAUCGCUUGAAUCGAGUGGGAGUUAAUCUUCCAGAUGAGAUAGUGAUGGUUCUCCAUAGUCACUGCCACCAAGCUAUUAGAGCUUCAUGAUGAACUAUAACAUAUCAGGGAUAGAUAUGAUGAUCCUUGAGCUAUUCGCAAUGUUUGACACCGUGAAAGUAGAAAUCAAAUAGGAGCAUCAAUUGUUGAUGGUUAGUAAAACCACUAGUUUCAAGAAGGGCAAGGGCAAAAAGGGAUACUUCAUGAAACGACAAAUCAUUUGCUACUCUAGUGAAGAAUCCCAAGGUUGAACCCAAACCGAGACUAAGUGCUUCUGUAAUAAGGGGAACGGUCACUGAAGCAGAACUACCCUAGAUACUUGGUAGAUGAGAAGGCAGGCAAGAUCGACAGAAGUAUAUUGGAUAUACAUUAUAUGAAUGUGUACUUUACUAGUACUCCUAGUAGCACCAGUGUAUUAGAUACCGGUGCGGUUGCUAAGUGUUAGUAACUCGAAAUAAAAGCUGCGGAAUAAACGGAGACUAGCUAAAGGUGAGAUGACGAUAUGUGUUGGAAGUGUUUCCAAGGUUGAUGUGAUCAAGCAUCGCAUGCUCCCUCUACCAUCGAGAUUGGUGUCAAACCUAAAUAAUUGUUAUUUGGUGUUUCCGUUGAGCAUAAACAUGAUUGAAUUAUGUUUAUCGCAAUACGGUUAUUCAUUUAAGGAGAAUAAUGGUUACUCUGUUUAUUUGAAUAAUACCUUCAAUGGUCUUGCACCUAAAAUGAAUCUCGAUCAUAGUGAUACACAUGUUCGUGCCAAAAGAUAUAAAAUAGUAAUGAUAGUACCACAUACUUGUGGCACUGCCAUUUGAGUCAUAUUGGUAUAGAACGCAUGAAGAAGCUCCAUGUAGAUGGAUCUUUGGACUCACUCGUUUUUGAAAAGAUUGAGACAUGCGAACCAUGUCUAUUGGUAUAUAUGCAUGAAGAAACUCCAUACAGAUGGAUCGUUUGGACUCACUUGAUUUUGAAUCACUUGAGACAUGCAAAUCAUACCACAUGGGCAAGAUGACUGAAAGGCCUCGUUUUCAGUAAGAUGGAACAAGAAAGCAACUUGUUGGAAGUAAUACAUUUUGAUGUGUGCAGUCCAAUGAGUGCUGAGGCACGCAGUGGAUAUCGUUAUGUUCUUACUUCACAGAUGAUUUGAGUAGAUGCUGAGAAUAUUUACUUGAUGAAACACAAGUCUGAAUUAUUGAAAGGUUCAAGUAAUUUCAGAGUGAAGUUGAAGAUCGUCGUGACAAGAGGAUAAAAUGUCUAUGAUAUGAUCAUAGAGAUAUCUGAGUUACGAGUUUGGCACACAAUUAAGACAUUGUGGAAAUUGUUUCACAACUAAUACCGCCUGGAACACCAUAGUGUGAUGGUGUGUCCGAACAUCAUAACUGCACCCUAUUGGAUAUGGUGCAUACCAUGAUGUCUCUUAUCGAAUUACCACUAUCGUUUAUGGGUUAGGCAUUAGAGACAACCGCAUUCACUUUAAAUAGGGCACCACGCAAUUCCGUUGAGACGACACCGUAUGAACUAUGGUUCAGAGAAACCCAAGCUGUCGUUUCUUAAAAAUUUGGGGUUGCGACGCUUAUGUGAAAAAGUUUUAGGCUGAUAAGCUCGAACCCAAAGCGGAUAAAUGCAUCUACAUAGAAUACCCAAAACAGUUGGGUAUACCUCCUAUUUCAGAUCUGGAAGCAAGCUGAUUGUUUCUAGAAAUAGGUCCUUUCUCGAGGAAAAGUUUCUCUCGAAAGAAUUGAGUGGGAGGAUGGUGGAGACUUGAUGAGGUUAUUGAACCAUGACUUCAACUAGUGUGUAGCAGGGCACAGGAAGUUGUUCCUAUGGCACCUACACCAAUUGAAGUGGAAGCUUAUGAUAGUGUUCAUGAAACUUCGGAUCAAGUCAUUACCAAACCUCGUAGGACGACAAGGAUGCAUGCUACUUCAGAGUGGUACGUAAUCAUGUCUUGGAAGUCAUGUUGCUAGACAACAAUGAACCUACGAGCUAUGGAGAAGCGAUGAUGGGCCCGGAUUCCGACGAAUGGCUCGAGGCCAUAAAAUCCGAGAGAGGAUCCAUGUAUAAAAACAAAGUGUAGACUUUGGAAGAACUACUUCAUGGUCGUAAGGUUGUUGGGUGCAGAUGGAUUUUCAAAGGGAAGACAGACAAUGAUGGUAAGUAGCACCAUUAAGAAAGCUCGACUUGUCGUUAAGAUGUUUUCCGACGAGUUCAAGGAGUUGACUACGAUGAGACUUUCUCACUCGUAGCGAUGCUAAGAGUCUGUUGGAAUUAUAUUAGCAGUUACUGCAUUAUUUAUGAAAUCUUGCAGAUAGGAUGUCAAAACAUUGUUUCCUCGACGAUUUUCUUGAGGAAAGGUUGUAUGUGAUACAACCAGAAGGUUUUGUCAAUCCUGAAAGAUGCUAACAAGUAUGCAAAGCUCCAGCAAUCCUUCUAAGGACUGGAGUAAGCAUCUAGGAGUUGGAAUGUACGCUUUGAUGUGAUGAUCAAAGAUUUUGGGUUUUUACAAAGUUUAUGAGAAACUUGUAUUUCCAAAGAAGUGAGUGGGAGCACUAUAGAAUUUUUUAUGAGUAUAUGUUGUUGACAUAUUGUUGAUCAGAAAUGACGUAGAAUUUCUGGAAAGCAUACAGGGUAAUUUGAAAAGUGUUUUUCAAUGGAAAACCUGGAUUAAGCUACUUGAACAUUGAACAUCAAGAUCUAUAAGGAUAGAUCAAAAACGCUCAAUAGUACUUUCAAAUGAAUACAUACCGUGACAAGAUUUUGAAGGAGUUCAAAAUAGAUCAGCAAAGAAGGAGUUCUUGGCUGUGUUACAAGGUGUGAGUAUUGAGUAAGACUCAAGACCUGACAACGGCAGAAGAGAGAGAAAGGACGAAGGUCGUCCCCUAUGCUUUAGACGUAGGCUCUACAGUAUGCUAUGCUGUGUACCGCACCUGAAGUGUGCCUUGCCAUGAGUUAGUCAAGGGGUACAAUAGUGAUCCGGGAAUGGAUCACAUGACAGCGGUCGAACUUAUCCUUAGUAUCUAGUGGACUAAGGAAUUUUCUCGAUUAUGGAGGUGGUAAAAGAGUUCGUCGUAAGGGGUUACGUCGAUGCAAACUUUGACACUAAUCCGGAUGACUGUGAGUAGUAAACCGGAUUCGUAUAGUAGAGCAGUUAUUUGGAAUAGCUCCAAGUAGCGCGUGGUAGCAGCAUCUACAAGAUGACAUAGAUAUUUGUAAAGCACACACGGAUCUGAAAGGUUCAGACCCGUUGACUAAUAACCUCUCUCACAAGCGAGAUAUGAACAAACCCCAUGGGUGUUGGAUUCAUUACAAUCACAUGGUGAUGUGAACUAGAUUAUUGACUCUAGUAAACUCUUGGGUAUUAAUCACAUGGCGAUGUGAACUAGAUUAUUGACUCUAGUGCAAGUGGGAGACUGUUGGAAAUAUGCCCUAGAGGCAAUAAUAAAAUGGUUAUUAUUGUAUUUCCUUGUUCAUAAUAAUUGUCUAUUGUUCAUGCUAUAAUUGUAUUAACUGGAAACCGUAAUACAUGUGUGAAUACAUAGACCACAACAUGUCCCUAGUAAGCCUCUAGUUGACUAGCUCGUUGAUCAAUAGAUGGUUAUGGUUUCCUGACCAUGGACAUUGGAUGUCAUUGAUAACGGGAUCACAUCAUUAGUAGAAUGAUGUGAUGGACAAGACCCAAUCCUAAGCAUAGCACAAGAUCGUGUAGUUCGUUUGCUAGAGCUUUUCUAAUGUCAAGUAUCAUUUCCUUAGACCAUGAGAUUGUGCAACUCCCGGAUACCGUAGGAAUGCUUUGGGUGUACCAAACGUCACAACGUAAAUGGGUGGCUAUAAAGGUGCACUACAGGUAUCUCCGAAAGUGUCUGUUGGGUUGGCACGAAUCGAGACUGGGAUUUGUCACUCCAUAUGACGGAGAGGUAUCUCUGGGCCCACUCGGUAAUGCAUCAUCAUAAUGAGCUCAAUGUGACUAAGGAGUUAGCCACGGGAUCAUGCAUUACGGUACGAGUAAAGUGACUUGCCGGUAAUGAGAUUGAACGAGGUAUUGGGAUACCGACGAUCGAAUCUCGGGCAAGUAACAUACCGCUUGACAAAGGGAAUUGUAUACGGGAUUGAUUGAAUCCUCGACAUCGUGGUUCAUCCGAUGAGAUCAUCGAGGAGCAUGUGGGAGCCAACAUGGGUAUCCAGAUCCCGCUGUUGGUUAUUGACCGGAGAGUCGUCUCGGUCAUGUCUGCGUGUCUCCCGAACCCGUAGGGUCUACACACUUAAGGUUCGGUGACGCUAGGGUUGUAGAGAUGUUAGUAUGCGGUAACCCGAAAGUUGUUCGGAGUCCUGGAUGAGAUCCCGAACGUCACGAGGAGUUCCGGAAUGGUCCGGAGGUAAAGAUUUAUAUAUGGGAAGUCUUGUUUUGGUCGCCGGAAAAGUUUCGCGCAUUAUCGGUAUUGUACCGGGAGUGCCGAAAGGGGUCCGGGAGUCCACCAAGGGGGUCCACCUACCCCGGGGGGCACAUGGGCUGUAGGGGUGUGCGCCUUGGCCUAUAUGGGCCAAGGGCACCAGCCCCAAGAGGCCCAUGCGCCAAGAGAUAAGGGAAAGGGAGAGUCCUAAAGGGGGCAGGCACCUCCUAGGUGCCUUGGGGAGGAUGGACUCCUCCCUGGCCGCACCCUUCCUUGGAGGAAGGGCCAAGGCUGCGUCCCCCCCCUCUCCCUUGGCCCUAUAUAUAGUGGGGGGGAAGGGAGGGCAGCCGCACCCAAGCCCUGGCGCCUCCCUCUCCCUCCCGUGACACAUCUCCCUCCUCCCGCAGCGCUUGGCGAAGCCCUGUUGGAAUCCCGCUACUUCCACCACCACGCCGUCGUGCUGCUGGAUCUCCAUCAACCUCUCCUCCCCCCUUGCUGGAUCAAGAAGGAGGAGAUGUUGCUGCUCCAUACGUGUGUUGAACGCGGAGGUGCCGUCCAUUCGGCGCUAGGAUCAUCGGUGAUUUGGAUCACGACGAGUACGACUCCAUCAACCCCGUUCUCUUAACGCUUCCGCUCGCGAUCUACAAGGGUAUGUAGAUGCACUCCUCUCUCUUGUUGCUAGCAUCUCCUAGAUAGAUCUUGGUGACACGUAGGAAAAUUUUGAAUUAUUGCUACGUUCCCCAACAAUUAAAUAUCAAGAUAUUGUUUGCCAUUAUGUGUAUGCUUGUUGUGAGCUUGCAAGUACAUUCAAUGUACUGACCUGGCGUGUCAUGCCAGUUUUCAGAAAGUCUAACUGGAUCGAAGUGCUGCGGUGUCUAGAUCGUGUCCACAUCGGUGUCCAUGUGCUAUGGCGUUCCACUUCGUCGUCGUUCCGCUGCCGCGUAGUUGUCGUGAUCGAGGCCCCUUUAUGUUCACUAAAUAAUGUACAUAUUGUUCAGCCGCACCGUGUGUGCCGCCUGGCCUCGCAACUUAAUGUAAUAUCGAACUAUGUUCCGCUAGUAUCAAUAAAAGCGGUUGCUUUCUGUACCAUGAUGUUGUGUGUUGCCAGAAGACUCGAUCUCUGGGCUGGCAAUGCAAGGUAAACCAUUCGCUCUGAGCCGGGGUGCCAUACCGAAGGUGUUUGUUGAGUUGGCAUAGAUCAAGAUUAGGAUUUUCACUCCGUGUAUCGGAGAGGUAUCUCUGGGCCCUCUCGGUAAUGCACAUCACUAUAAGCCUUGCAAGCAAUGUGACUAAUGAGUUAGUUGCGGGAUGAUGCAUUACGGAACGAGUAAAGAGAGUUGCCGGUAACGAGAUUGAACAAGGUAUGAUGAUACCGACGAUCGAAUCUCGGGCAAGUAACAUACCGAUGACAAAGGGAACAACGUAUGUUGUUAUGCGGUUUGACCGAUAAAGAUCUUCGUAGAAUAUGUAGGAGCCAAUAUGAGCAUCCAGGUUCCGCUAUUGGUUAUUGACCGGAGAUGUGUCUCGGUCAUGUCUACAUAGUUCUCGAACCCGUAGGGUCCGCACGCUUAACGUUCGAUGACGAUUUGUAUUAUGAGUUAUGUGAUUUGAUGACCGAAGAUUGUUCGGAGACCCAGAUGAGAUCACGGACAUGAUGAGGAGUCUCAAAAUUGUCGAGACAUAAAGAUUCAUAUAUUGGAAGGUUAUAUUCGGACUUCAGAAUGGUUCCGAGUGAUCCGGGUAUUUUUCGGAGUGCCGAGGGGUUACCGGAACCCCGAGAGAAGUUAAUAGAUAAACUUGAUCAUAAACCCACAAUUCAUCGGUCUCAACAAACACACUGCAAAAGAACAUUACAUCAAAUAGAUCUCCACAAGAGAGGGGAAGAACAUUGUAUUGAGAUCCAAAAAGAGAGAAGAAGCCAUCUAGCUAAUAACUAUGGACCCGAAGGUCUGAGGUAAAAUACUCAACCAUCAUCGGAGAGGCUAUGGUGUUGAUGUAGAAGCCCUCCUUGAUCGAUGCCCCCUCUGGCGGAGCUCCGGAAAAGGCCCCAAGAUGGGAUCUCACGGGUACAGAAGGUUGCGGCGGUGGAAUUAGGUUUUUGGCUCCGUAUCUAGUAGUUUGGGGGUACGUAGGUAUAUAUAGGAGGAAGAAGUACGUCGGUGGAGCAACAUGGGGCCCACGAGCGUGGAGGGCGCGCCCCCUACCUCGUGCCCUCCUGGUUGAUGUCUUGAUGUAGGGUCCAAGUCCUCUGGAUCUCGUUCGUUCCGAAAAUCAUGUUCCCGAAGGUUUCAUUCCGUUUGGACUCCGUUUGAUAUUCUUUUUCUGCGAAACUCUGAAAUAGGCAAAAAAACAGCAAUUCUGGGUUGGGCCUCCGGUUAAUAGGUUAGUCCCAAAAAUAAUAUAAAAGUGUAUAAUAAAGCCCAUUAAUGUCCAAAACAGAAUAUAAUAUAGCAUGGAACAAUCAAAAAUUAUAGAUACAUUGGAGACGUAUCAAGCAUCCCCAAGCUUAAUUCCUGCUCGUCCUCGAGUAGGUAAAUGAUAAAAACAGAAUUUUUGAUGUGGAAUGCUACUUGGCAUAAUUUCAAUGUAAUUCUCCUAAUUGUGGUAUGAAUAUUCAGAUCCGAAAGAUUCAAGAUAAAGGUUUAAUAUUGACAUAAAAGUAAUAAUACUUCAAGCAUACUAACUAAGCAAUUAUGUCCUCUCAAAAUAACAUGGCCAAAGAAAGUUCAUCCCUACAAAAUCAUAUAGUUUAGUCAUGCUCCAUUUUCGUCACACAAGAAUUCUCUCAUCAUGCACAACCCCGAUGACAAGCCAAGCAAUUAUUUCAUACUUUAGUAAUCUCAAACUUUUUUCAACCUUCACGCAAUACAUGAGCGUGAGCCAUGGAUAUAACACUAUGGGUGGAAUAGAAUAUAAUGAUGGGGGUUAUGUGGGAAGACAAAAAGGAGAAAGUCUCACAUCAACGCAGCUAAUCAAUGAGCUAUGGAGAUGCCCGUCGAUUGAUGUUAAUGCAAGGAGUAGGGAUUGCCAUGCAACGGAAGCACUAGAGCUAUAAAUGAAACUAAGUGGGUGUGCAUCCAACUUGCUUGCUCACGAAGACCUAGGGCAUUUGAGGAAGCCCAUCGUUGGAAUAUACAAGCCAAGUUCUAUAAUGAAAAAUUCUCACUAGUAUAUGAAAGUGACAAAACAAGAGACUCUCUAUCAUGAAGAUCAUGGUGCUACUUUGAAGCACAAGUGUGGAAAAAAAAGGAUAGUAGCAUUGUCCCUUUUUAUUCUCUUUUUUUUGGGCCUUCUUUUUUUUAUUUGGCCUUUUUUGGGGGGGGGGGGCAAUGCUCUAUGAAUGAUGAUCAUCACACUUCUAUUUAUUUACAACUCAAUGAUUGCAACUCGAUACUAGAACAAAGUAUGACUCUAUAUGAAUGCCUCCGGCGGUAUACCGGGAUAGCAAUGAAUCAAGAGUGACAUGUAUGGAAAAUUAUGAACGGUGGCUUUGCCACAAAUACGAUGUCAACUACAUGAUCAUGCAAAGCAAUAUGACAAUGAUGAGCGUGUCAUAACAAACGGAACGGUGGAAAGUUGCAUGGCAAUAUAUCUCGGAAUGGCUAUGGAAAUGCCAUAAUAGGUAGGUAUGGUGGCUGUUUUGAGGAAGAUAUAAGGAGGUUUAUGUGUGAAAGAGUGUAUCAUAUCACGGGGUUUGGAUGCACCGGCGAAGUUUGCACCAACUCUCAAUGUGAUAAAGGGCAAUGCACGGUACCGAAGAGGCUAGCAAUGAUGGAAGGGUAAGAGUGCGUAUAAUCCAUGGACUCAACAUUAGUCAUAAAGAACUCACAUACUUAUUGCAAAAAUCUACAAGUCAUCAAAAACCAAGCACUACGCGCAUGCUCCUAGGGGGAUAGAUUGGUAGGAAAAGACCAUCGCUCGUCCCCGACCGCCACUCAUAAGGAGGACAAUCAAAGAACACCUCAUGUUUCAAAUUUGUUACAUAAUGUUUACCAUACGUGCAUGCUACGGGACUUGCAAACUUCAACACAAGUAUUUCUCAAAUUCACAACUACUCAACUAGCACAACUUUAAUAUCACUACCUCCAUAUCUCAAAACAAUCAUCAAGCAUCAAACUUCUCUUAGCAUUCAGCACACUCAUAAGAAAGUUUUUUACUAGUCUUGAAUACCUCACAUACUAGGAUUAAUUUCCCAAUUUAAGCAAAUUAGCAUGCUGUUUAAGACUCUCAAAAUAAUAUAAGUGAAGCAUGAGAGAAUAAUAGUUCUAUAAAACAAAACCACCGCCGUGCUCUAAAAGAUAUAAGUGAAGCACUAGAGCAAAAACUAUAUAGCUCAAAAGAUAUAAGUGAAGCGCAUAGAGUAUUCUAAUAAAUUCCGAAUCAUGUGUGUCUCUCUCAAAAGGUGUGUACAGCAAAGAUGAUUGUGGUAAACUAAAAAUCAAAGACUCAAAUCAUACAAUACGCUCCAAGAAAAACACAUAUCAUGUGGUGAAUAAAAAUAUAGCUCCAAGUAAAGUUACCGAUGGAAGUAGACGAAAGAGGGGAUGCCUUCCGGGGCAUCCCCAAGCUUUGGCUUUUUGGUGUCCUUAAAUUAUCUUGGGGUGCCAUGGGCAUCCCCAAGCUUAAGCUCUUGCCACUCCUUGUUCCAUAAUCCAUCAAAUCUUUUACCGAAAACUUGAAAACUUCACAACACAAAACUUAACAGAAAAUCUCGUGAGCUCCGUUAGCGAAAGAAAACAAAACACCACUUCAAGGUACUUUAAUGAACUCAUUCUUUAUUUAUAUUGGUGUUAAACCUACUGUAUUCCAACUUCUCUAUGGUUUAUAAACUAUUUUACUAGCCAUAGAUUCAUCAAAAUAAGCAAACAACACACGAAAAAUAGAAUCUGUCAAAAACAGAACAGUCUGUAGUAAUCUGUAACGUAACUAACGCAAACUUCUGGAACUCCAAAAAUUCAGCCAAAAUAGGACGAACUAGACAAUUUGUUUAUUGAUCAGAAGCAAUUGGAAUCGAUAUUUUAUCACGUUCUGAUGAUUUUUAACAAUUAUUUUCGUGAACAGAAAGUUUCUGGAAUUUUCAGCAAGAUCAAAUAACUAUCAUCCAAGAAGAUCCUAUAGGUUAAACUUGGCACAAACACUAAUUAAAACAUAAAAACAAAUCAAAAUAGAGGCUAGAUCAAAUAUUUAUUCCUAAACAGAAGCAAAAAGUAAAAUAAAAUUGGGUUGCCUCCCAACAAGCGCUUUUCUUUAAAGCCUUUUUAGCUAGGCAUUGAGAUUUCAAUGAUGCUCACAAGAAAGACAAGAAUUGAAGCACAAAGAGAGCAUCAUAAAACACGUGACAAACACAUCUAAGUCUAACAUACUUCCUAUGCAUAGGCAUCUCAUAGGCAAACAAAUUAUCAAGGUAAGCAAAAACUAGCAUAUGCAAGGAAGCGGAAAGAAACAAUAGCAAUCUCAACAUAACGAGAGGUAAUUUAGCAACAUGAAAAUUUCUACAACCAUAUUUUCCUCUCUCAUAAUAAUUAUAUGUAGGGUCAUAAGCAAAUUCAACAAUAUAGCUACCACAAAACAUAUGCUUAACACGAUCCACAUGUAUGCAAAGUUGACACUCUUCCAAAAUAGUGGGAUUAACAUUAGCUAAAGUCAUGACCUCUCCAAACCCACUUUUAUCAAAAACUUCAUAAGAUUGAUCAAAAUCCAAAUAUGUGGGAUCUAAAGUUGACACUCUUCCAAACCCACUUUCAAUACUAUUGCAAACAUUAUUAUCAAUCUCAUAUUCAUCAUGGGGCUAAAUAAAUUUUCAAGAUCAUGAGAAGAAUCACCCCAAUCAUGAUCAUUGCAACAAGUAGAGGACAUAGCAUCCCCAAGCUUAGGAUUUUGCAUAUUAUUAGCACAAUUUACAUCAAUAGAAUUUAUAGUAAAAUCAUCGCAAUCAUGCUUUUUAUUCAAAGAUCUAUCAUGAAUCGCUUCAUAAAGUACUUCUUCACAAUUUUCAGAUUCACGAAUUUCAAGCAAAACCUCAUAAAGAUAAUCUAGUGCACUUAACUCACUAGCAAUAGGUUCAUCAUAAUUGGAUCUCUUAAAGAGAUUAGCAAGUGGAUGAGGAUCCAUAAACUUUUAGCAAGCGAAGAUGCAAGCGAAAAGAAGGUACAUGGUAACACAAGAUCGAACAGAAGGAGGGCGAAGAAAAGGCAAAAAGGGCGAAUAAAACGACAAGGGUGAAGUGGGGGAGAGGAAAACGAGAGGCAAAUGGCAAAUAAUGUAAUGCGGGAGAUAAGAGUUUGUGAUGGGUACUUGGUAUGUUGACUUUUGCGUAGACUCCCCGGCAACGGCGCCAGAAAUCCUUCUUGCUACCUCUUGAGCACUGCGUUGGUUUUCCCUUGAAGAGGAAAGGGUGAUGCAGCAAAGUAGCGUAAGUAUUUCCCUCAGUUUUUGAGAACCAAGGUAUCAAUCCAGUAGGAGGCCACGCAUGAGUCCCUCGCACCUACACAAACAAAUAAAUCCUCGCAACCAACGCAAUAAAGGGGUUGUCAAUCCCUUCACGGUCACUUAUGAGAGUGAGAUCUGAUAGAUAUGAUAAGAUAAUUUUUUUGGUAUUUUUAUGAUAAAGAUGCAAAGUAAAGAAAGCAAAAUAAAGACAACGCUAGAAAUAACUUGUUGACGGGAGAUUAAUAUGAUGGAAAAUAGACCCGGGGGCCAUAGGUUUCACUAGUGGCUUCUCUCAAGAGCAUAAGUAUUACGGUGGGUGAACAAAUUACUGUUGAGCAAUUGACAGAAUUGAGCAUAGUUAUCAGAAUAUCUAGGUAUGAUCAUGUAUAUAGGCAUCACGUCCGAGACAAGUUGACCGACUCCUGCCUGCAUCUACUACUAUUACUCCACACAUCGACCGCUAUCCAGCAUGCAUCUAGAGUAUUAAGUUCAUAAGAACAGAGUAACGCUUUAAGUAAGAUGACAUGAUGUAGAGGGAUAAACUCAUGCAAUAUGAUAUAAACCCCAUAUUGUUAUCCUCGAUGGCAACAAUACAAUACGUGCCUUGUUGCCCCUACUGUCACUGGGAAAGGACACCGCAAGAUUGAACCCAAAGCUAAACACUUCCCCUAUUGCAAGAAAGAUCAAUCUAGUAGGCCAAACCAAACUGAUAAUUCGAAGAGACUUGCAAAGAUAACCAAUCAUACAUAAAAGAAUUCAGAGAAGAUUCAAAUAUUUUUCAUAUAUAAACUUGAUCAUAAACCCACAAUUCGUCGGUCUCAACAAACACACCGUGUCGUGGUUUUGUCACGGCAGAUGUCCUAAUGAGAGGACUUAGUCGUGAGGCCAAUGCAUCUAUGUGGUAGCUUGAGAGGGGUUGAGCGUAAUCGAGAGACGCAACACACAAGACAAGGAUUUAGACAGCUUCGGGCCCCGGGAAACAUCAUCCGGUAAUAGUCCUACAUGCUGUUUGAGGCUAGGUCUCAUUAUCAUCAUGAGGGAGUCGUCGGUAAACCGGCCCUUUGUGUCUAUCCCUAGAGAUUGUUUCUUCUUUUUUCUCUCCCUCUUUGGGGAGCCCUGCCCCUCCUUAUAUAUGUUGAAGGGGCGGUUUACAUGACUAGUCCUAGUUGGAUUAGGAUUACUCUAUUACAAGUGGAGUCCUAGUCUUGCUUCCUUUGUAGGAGAAUAUUCCUUGUGUCUUCCUCUUAAACUGGCCCACCAUAACAUGAGCCGGCCUUUCAUGAACCGCCCAUUGGGCCACCGGGUCUUGUGGCUCCUUUGACCCGCCUGCCGGAUUACCAAUGACUCGUAAACUGCCAGGUCCAAGCGGGUCGCCAGUGAAUCGCCAAACUCCAGCCGGGUCAUACAUCCGGCGAUUUAUACCGCGGGGUAUAUCCCUGACAUUAGCCCCCAGUUUAAUUUGGAUUUAUCCAUGUUAAACUGAUCCUGCAACAUAAACACAAGAACGAAUUUGAUAGGUUGCGGUCCGGGUUAAAUAUUCUUGUAAGCCGGCAUCUGAUCAUCCUUAAGUCCUUGUUAUUUCCUUCUUCUAGAAAAUCUAAGUCAAUAGACCAGCUUCAUAAUCAAUUUGCUUGCAGAAGAUAUUUUGUAAAUAAAGAAUCCAUUUGAAUCGGCCUUCAAUGCUCUGAUUUGACAAAAAUAUUGGUCUUCAAAUAUUCAACUGAUAUCCACCGGUUUGAAAAUGUAGAACUUGCCGGUUUAUCAUUGUCAAAAUUGUCGGGUUAUAAAAACUGAUAAUUCCAGGUCAUGAUUGUUUCCAACGCCGGUUCAUGAUUGUUGCCAACGCCGGUUCAUAAUUAACUAAAAAUUGGAAGAUAUUUCUCCCUUAUAUCCAUAUUACCUGUAGCCCCCAAGUCUUGAACAGAACAAAGUGAUGAUUUGAGACUUGUUUCCAUAUAAUUACUGCCACUUUGAAGAAAUCCAUGUUCAUCUCAGUCACUAGUAAAAACUGAAUACUCCAUAUAUGUAGCCCCCAAGUGCCGGGUUGUCUUGCUUGCAGCAACCUGGGACUUGAAAUUGCCUUAUGCUCAUAAAAACUUCAACCAGUGUAGCCCCCAAGGGCCGGGUCAUUAUGCAAUAAUGAGCAGGGACUUUAUAUAUACUUCAUUGAAAAUAACAUCAUAUGAUGUAACCCCCAUCAUGGUGCUUGAAUCCACGUCCACAAGGUUAAGAGCUUUGUGCUUUACCAACUGAGCAAUAAACCUUUCAAUAAUAUAUGAAAAUUUGAUUACCUUGAAUUGUUUUAGAGGAGCAAUUGGUAGCCCCCAAGGGCUGGCUCAUUAUGACAUGAUGAGUCGGGUCUUCAAUAAGACUAAUAAAAAUGACUUUGCAUUAGCCACCAAGUGUCAUGGUGCAUGCUUGCAGUGACAUGAGACUUGCAUAUUUGAUAUAAUCUUAAUUUAAAUAAUGUAGCCCCCAAGUGCCGGGUCGUAAGCCUGCAGCGGCUCGGGACUAUUCCUUCCAUUGUCUAAUAAAUCAUAUCCAUUGAUAAUAUAAUAGCCAUUGCGCUAAAGCGACUUUGAGAACCUUAAUCAUAAUACUGGUUAUUGAUAACCAUAAUAAAAAUCCAGCCAUGUUGGCUAUUUGAAGAUUUGAGUAAUAUAAUCCAAUGAUUUAUGAGCGCAUGAUUCCAAUGGCGCAAUCCAAAUAUAUGCUGGCGACUUAUAAUCCCAAGCCAGUCCGCGUUAAUAAACACUGGAUAAUUUAUCAGCAUACUGGCGACUUAUAGUCGAAAACCAGGCCGGGUUAAUAAACACCGGUGAUUUAUAAUCAUGCUUUACUCAACCUGUUUCUGCAUAUAACAAGUUUAAAGUGUCCUGGCGGUUUGCCGCCGGACGGGUCAUAAUGCCCAACAUAUAACCCGGGUUUAUAACCAAGGCUGCACUUAAGAAUAAUCAAAUAUGAAAUAUAUCAUACCUGUGACAUUGAAUCACAUUGUUGGUUUACCAACUUUUGUAAUGAGGGUGAUAACCCCAAUCUUGAGUAAUGAUAACUCCUUUCAUAUUGUGCCGGUUUAUGAUAAAACCGUACCGGGUUGUGAUAAACACCGGAUUAACCAUACAUAAUACUGGCGACUUGUAGUCAAAACCAGACCGGGUUAAUAAGCGUCGGAUUAUAACUGAUCAUGUACUGACAACUUGUAGUUGAAAAUCAAGCCGGGUUAAUGAACGCCGGUUUAUCAAAAACAGUAUAAAUCUCAUCAAAGGAGAAAAAACUUGGCAAAUAAAAGCAGAUGAAAACUUGUAGUCGAGGCUUUUCACGCGCUGCCAGGCCCCAAAUUCGAGGCUUUUCAUGGGCUGCCAGGCCACUGAGUUAAACCAUUUCACAAAGCCUUUUAAGAUGGUCCUCAAUCCUUAACCAAUCAUCGUUUUAACUUGACAAGUUCAGGGUCUUAUUUUAGAGUAACUUGUCAAAGUUCGAAGGGUCAUACCAGGUUUACCUGGGCGGAGUGACUUACUUAAAUAGGCAGGCUAACCCGGGGUUUUAGGUGUAUACACCAGGCUUCCAAGCCGUGGCUUGAUAGCCUAUUACAAGUGUAGAUUCUUUGUUCAUUGCGACAGCAAAGAAUCCCCAAGUAACAUCUUGAGCUGUGCUCAGUGGGUGCCUAUGUUUGAGUUGUUCUUUUGUAACACUCUCUUUGGCCCCGAAGUAGUUUUCUGGUGUAGCUAUGGUUCGGACACGACCAAGCCCCCAAGUGAUUUUUCUGGUGGCCUUGCAUCAAUCAAGAGGUGUAGCUAUGGUUCGAAUACGACCAAGCCCCCAAGUGAUCAAUAAUAUGAUAAGCCAAUAAGGCAUGAUACCCAUGUUUGAACCGCGCACCAUGGCAGCAGGUCCUCUUCGGCAACUUUUAACUUUUUGCAAGAGAUAAAUUCUUCUUGAACUGGGAUUUUGAACCGGAUAUUGAGAGCUUCAAAGCUUUGUGGGAGACAUCUUUCCCUUGAACCAGAUUGUAAACCGGAAUCUUCAUUUUCAGCCGGAAAUUUUCUGACGGCCUUUCAACUCGAACUUGCGAGAAGUUAAUUCCUUUUUGAACCGGACACUUUUAAACCGGAUUUGAGAGCUUCAGAGCUUUGUGGGAGAACAGAUUUCCCUUGAACCGGAUUGUAAACCGAAUAUUUGAGAGUUUCAGUGAGACUGACUUCCCUUGAGCCGGAUUUUAAACCGGAAUCCUUUCUGAUGACCCGGAACUUCUUCAUUGAGCCGGGAUUUUGUAAUUGUCAUAUACUUUCUAAGCCGGAAAUUUUCUGACGGCCUUUAAAUUUUCAUCAAUAUAACAGUAGCCUCCGGGACCGGGUUAUCUUUCCCUCCAUCGUCCUGGGGUUCUUAAAUUUGCUGAAACUGGCAAGAUUUGCUGAGUCAUGUCAUCGUAGCCCCCGAGUCUCAAAGGUGACUCGAGGAUUUGGCUUGAGACUCUCCAUAUUUGACUGUGAUAUAAACCGGCAUAACUUGUAUAUCAUUGGUGUUGAUAGCACGAUGUGAAUCCACAUAAUGUUGAGGUGACUGCGGCAGGUUAUAAAUGUUCCCAUAUGAGCCGUGUCAGCAACUCGGCCAAUGGUUCCUUCUGACUGGCUCCUUGAAGUUUAACCAAACUGUAGUGGCGGCGACUUGUGCGCCUGUCCAUUGAGUCAUCCAGUGCAGACGGCGGCUGAUAGUAUAUGAUAAUCUGCCUCCAUUUUGUUUGAAAGAGAAACCGGGCUACCCAAGCUGUGACUUGCUCAUACUUAAUAAACAGCUCAUGCAGACAGGUCCGGACGGCGGCUGAUAAUAUAGACCGGACCACAUGGUGGCGGUUUGUAUACGUCCAUUGGACAGCUUGCAUGAACGGGUGUGACCCUGACAUGCUGACAUAGAUUGGUCCGCAAGAAUGGCAAUUUAGGCGCUUCUAUUGAGCGGCACGGAAAGAACAAUCAUCAAUGAUGUGAUGCCACUUUGAAAUAAUUGUCCUGCAUAUAAAAAAGAUACAAACCAACGUAAUUGUUCUUUGACAAAAACAAUAUGUGUCCAAACUAGAUUUAGAUGGAUUUCACCUGAUAUGUUAGGCCGGAAAUUAUCCGUCACGGACUUGAUGAUCACCGGAUGAAGCUGAAAUCAAUCACGGGUGAACCGGCCGCAAUGUGGUAAGCCGGUGCGGACGGGUGAAUCGGCCGUGACGUUUGUAAGCCGGCGCGGACAACGAGUCGGCCGCAUGCACGGACGAAUGUAAACUGAACAGCGGGGGCGGUGAUUUGCACAUGUAUCCGUCGAGCAGCAUGGCCCGGAGGAACACCAGUGCAAAAUUAUGCUGGCACGCGCUCCAUGUCCGCGGUAUAAUAGUACCCUUGUCAUAAAUAAUUAUCCUGCAUAAAAACAUUGCAGACGACGGCAAAGAUAAAUUGCUCUUUGACAAAAAACAAUAUAUGCUAAAUAAACAAACUCAGAUGGAUGUCACCUGAUUUGCUUGGACGACCGAUGAUCAGUACUGCGCACGUCGCCAGACUUGUCCAGGUCAUAGUACCUCCUUGGUAGACCAACUUUGAUGUAAUAGUUGGCAUAGGAAUUUGUGCACUUGAACAAUUUGAUUCCCCUCACGAAUUAAUAAUACAUCAUCAUGCUUUGGUUAAUCUGGAUAUCGUCGAAGCUUGUUGUGUAUCUGGCCUCAGCCAAUAUUAUACUGAUCUUGGACUGUCUUGCUUGAUGGGAGUACCAGUACACACGGAACGACGACAGCACCUGGAUAUUUCGUCAGAGCACUUGUGGAGACUUAGCGGACUGCGCGAUCACAAGCAGCCGUGAUUUUUUUUUGUGCGUCCCAGACCAAACGAGACUGUAGUUACGCGGCAAAGGUAGCAGCGAGGCGCAGCAGAGGCGCGCAGACAGCGCGGCUUCUGACGACGGCGGCUUGAAACGGCACGGUGAGCAGAUGGCGGUUCAAACGCAGCAUCGGAGGCGAUUUGGCGCGGACGCAGGGCCACUUGGAGGCAGUGGAAGCGGGCCCACAGCAGCGGGUUAGAUUCAGCCGGCGGGGGCGACUUGUGACAGAGGCGAGGUGAAAACGCAGCGGAGGCGGGUUGGCCAUCAGAGCGACCUACCGCGAUGGCGGCGGAAACCGGCCCGGCGCGACAGAGUGACUCGUAGCAGAAGACGAGGCGGCGGUCUUGGCACGGGCGUGGUCGCGGUGGCUCAACGGGGUCCAUCAGAAACGGACACGGCGACUCACCCGGGGCGGCCCAAGGUGGACGGCUCGACGGCGAGGCUGGUGAGGUGUGGAUGAAUCGGCAGCGGUUUGGAGAGGCGCGGCAGGGGCCAUGGCCGUGCGACAGUUGGAGGUGCAGCGAUUUGACCCGGCGGCGGCCGUCAAUGUAGAUGAGCCAGCUUGAGGCGGUUUGCCGUAGAAACGGAGGUGGCCUGCCACGAUGGAAUGGCAAGAGGCGUGCGUAGCUUUAUUACAGCAGAAGCUCGGCGCUGCGGCGGCGAUGGUAGGCCGGGUCAACUCGUGAUGGCAGGUUGAAGCGUAGUGCAGGCGUCGGGUUGCAGAACCCAACUGUGUCAGAGGCGGGUGGCGGCGACUUGCACGCCGCGGGCGACUCGGCAACGGAGCAGAAUCCAGGUCGUGGUCUUGCUGUACAGAUUACCCCUUCCAAAAUCUGAGUUACGAACAGUAACAGCAGAGUAGUACUAUAGCAGUAUUGCCUUCAUAAGAACAGUAGCAUAAUUAUCCAUUGGAAAUAGUACUUCUCCGGACCACAGUAGCAUCAGUUUAACAGAUCACUUUAUGAAACCACCUCGGGGCUUGACCCUUGCCCACACGCGCAUGUAGAUUGAUCUGACGCGGUGUACGACAGCUGGAGCACAAUUCCUGUCGGCCUCGGCGAUAUGCGACUAGCAGCAAAAAAAAUGAUCUUCUAUCUGGAUUCGACGGAUCGUGUUUCAUUGGCGAUACACACAGGAAUGCCAAACCCUAAAUUCCCUUGAACUCAAAACUCAUACUGGACAGUUGCAAACUUCUCGAUCCCUGGGAGCGAUCCCUUCAAGAACUCAACACCACCGUGAGCGGGCCCCACGGUGGGCGCCAACUGUCGUGGUUUUGUCACGGCAUAUGUCCUAAUGAGAGGACUUAGUCGUGAGGCCAACGCAUCUAUGUGGUAGCUUGAGAGGGGUUGAGCGCAAUCGAGAGACGCAACACACAAGACAAGGAUUUAGACAGCUUCGGGCCCCGGGAAACAUCAUCCGGUAAUAGCCCUACAUGUUGUUUGAGGCUAGGUCUCAUUAUCAUCACGAGGGAGUCGCCGGUAAACCGGCCCUUUGUGUCUAUCCCUAGAGAUUGUUUCUUCUUUUUUCUCUCCCUCUUUGGGGAGCCCUGCCCCUCCUUAUAUAUGUUGAAGGGGAGGUUUACAUGACUAGUCCUAGUUGGAUUAGGAUUACUCUAUUACAAGUGGAGUCCUAGUCUUGCUUCCUUUGUAGGAGAAUAUUCCUUGUGUCUUCCUCUUAAACCGGCCCACCAUAACAUGAGCCGGCCUUUCAUGAACCGCCCGUUGGGCCACCGGGUCUUGUCGCUCCUCUGACCCGCCUGCCGGAUUACCAAUGACUCGUAAACCGCCAGGUCCAAGCGGGUCGCCAGUGAAUCGCCAAACUCCAGCCGGGUCAUACAUCCGGCGGUUUAUACCGCGGGGUAUAUCCCUGACACACCGCAAAAGAAGAUUACAUCGAAUAGAUCUCCACAAGAGAGGGGGAGAACAUUGCAUUGAGAUCCAAAAAGAGAGAAGAAGCCAUCUAGCUAAUAACUAUGGACCCGAAGGUCUGAGGUAAACUACUCACACAUCAUCGGAGAGGCUAUGGUGUUGAUGUAGAAGCCCUCCAUGAUCGAUGCCCCCUCCGGCGGAGCUCCGGAAAAGGCCCCAAGAUGGGAUCUCACGGGUACAGAAGGUUGCUGCGGUGUAAUUAGGUUUUUGGCUCCAUAUCUGGUAGUCUGGGGGUACGUAGGUAUAUAUAGGAGGAAGAAGUACGUCGGUGGAGCAACAUGGGGCCCACGAGGGUGGAGGGCGCGCCCAGGGGGGUAGGCGCGCCCCCCUACCUCGUGCCCUACUGGUUGAUGUCUUGACGUAGGGUCCAAGUCCUCUGGAUCACGUUCGUUCCGAAAAUCACGUUCCCGAAGGUUUCAUUCCGUUUGGACUCCGUUAGAUAUUCUUUUUCUGCGAAACUCUGAAAUAGGCAAAAAACAGCAAUUUUGGGCUGGGCCUCCGGUUAAUAGGUUAGUCCCAAAAAUAAUAUAAAAGUGUAUAAUAAAUCCCAUUAAUGUCCAAAACAGAAUAUAAUAUAGCAUGAAACAAUCAAAAAUUAUAGAUACGUUGGAGACGUAUCAUGGAGGCACAAUGCUCCCCAAAAUGCCACUAGGGCCACCGUAAUCUCCUCACGCCCUCGCACAAUGCAAGAUGUCGUGAUUCCACUAAGGGACACUUGAGGGCGGUCACUGAACCCAUACAAAUGGCAACUCUUGAGGGCGGUCACCGAACCCGUACACUUUGGCAACCCUUGGGGCGGUCACCGAAACCCGUACAAAUCGCUCGGAGCAAUCUCUACAACUCAAUUGGAGACCCCGAAACUUGUCCCGAAGCUUUCCACCACAAUGAUUGAGCUCCACAACACUAAUUGUCUAGGUCACCAAAGCACCCAAGAGGAACAAGCAAAAGGGUGCCCAAACACCAAGAGUAAUAAGCUUCUCACCUUCACUUCCACGUACCACCGUGAAGAACUCAAACCUAUGCACCAAAUGUAAUGGCAAGGCCACAUGGUGUGCCCAAGUCCUCUCCAAAAUCCCACCACAACAACUAAUGUUAUGGAGGAAAAUGAGAGGAAGAACGAAGAAGAGAACACAAAGAACUCCAAGAUCUAGAUCCAACGGGUUCCCCUCACAUAGAGGAGAAAGUGAUUGGUAGAAAUGUAGAUCUAGAUCUCCUCCCUCUUAUCCCUCAAGAACUAGCAAGAAUCAUUGGAGGGAUUGAGAGAUAGCAAGCUCAAAGAAGGUCAACAAUGGGGGGAAAACACGAGCUCAAAGGAUAAGAACCAUUGGGGAAGAAGACCCCCUUAAAUAGGCUCCCCCGAAUCCAACCGUUAUGUGCAUAAGUCGUGCUCAAGCGGUACUACUGCUCGGGGGAGCAAUACUACUGCUUAGCAUGGUCAAAACAGCCCAACAAGACAGAAAAAGUUCCGCCAGAGAGGUACUACCGCUUAUAAGAGGUAUUACCGCUUGGGGAGGUAGUACCGCUUAGAGCUGAAAAACUGCCCAAGCAAAAGAAGGAUGCUCCAAUACUUAAACUGCUAUAACUACUGCAAAUGGACUCCGAAAUCAGCAAACUCAAGCUUGUUCGAUAGAAGACGACAAGUACUAUCCAACAGCGACUGGAUAAAUUAAAAACUAGUGAUGGAGAAUAAAUGCCAAUAGGAUAAGGAAGAGGACCUUCCCCAAGCAUGAACCGACAAACUCUCCAACACCGAAAACUCAAAUAUGAAGCAUGCGAACUCUGUUUUUGAUGAGAUUGAGUUUGAUAAGAAGACGAAUGAAAACUCUAAAACCUCACAAAGAGAAGAGUCAAAUAAGAACCAAGAAAGACGAUGCAAGGAUCCAAUGGUUUGAGCUCUCGACAAAUGAUAAGAUCAAGCUACUUACUUGAGAGCCCUCCUUGAUAGUGCGACAAUUGAUCCUAUAACUCGGUCUCCCAACUACCACCAUGAGACCGGUAACAUAUAAAACCUAUCAAGGGUAAACCUUUGCCUUGCGCAUAGUCCACUUGAGCUAGGUGAUGAUGAUCUUGACUUUCUCAAGUUGGACCACCUUUCUUGAUUGUGUUGGCUCGAUGAAGACUAGUUGAUUGCUCGCCCAUACUCCACUAUGGGUGAGCAACUCUUUGGCACAUCUUCACAAGUCCAUUUUCACCACAAUGGAUGGCAAGCUUCAAGCAUGAUCUCUUCGUGAUGCUCCACUUGAACUUGCACACCGCAAUCUUGAUGACGAUCACCACUUGAUGUCAUCCUCCAUGGGUUGUAUGAGAUCUUCCUCUUGACGCAAGCCCAUGGAAACACACCUAACCCCACAUAGAACUCUCACGUAGGCCAUGGUUUAGUACACAAAGCGUAAUGGACAAUGCUUACCAUACCAUGGGAUCACUUGAUCCCUCAUGGUACGUCUUGUACACUUUGUGUGUUGAUCAACUUGAUUCACUCUUUGACUUAGUCUUGAUCAACCUCGUAUCAUGUCUUCUCUAUGACCAAUCUUUGGAUAAUUCCUUGAAUAGCACCUCGGUUAUCACAUAAUCUACUUGAAACCAACAAAUGGACUUCAACAAAUGUCUAUGUGCAAACCUACAAAUAUAACUCAAGGCAACCAUUAGUCCAUAAAGAAUGUCAUCAAUUAUCAAAACCACACAUGGGGGCAGCAUGCUCUUUCAGGAUCCUUGACAUGAGGAAGUGCCUUUGUCCUACCCCAGGCGAGGGAUCGAGCCACAAGCAGAGCAGUGGUGGCAAGCGUCACAAGAAGUAGAUGAUUUGAUGAUCGUGUCUCCUAGUUUAGUAUGCAUGUAAUUGUUUAUUGAGAUGUGUGCAAAUGUUAUCUAUAGUCAGUUAUGUAAUUGGGUGUUUAUUUUGGUUAUGCAACCAUGUUGUUGUUCUGUAGACAGAGCAUAGAUGUUGUGCAGACAGAGCGAAUCACAUCGCGUACGGAUUUAACUACGGAACCCAUCGGUAAUGAUUUCAUCAAUCGCUGACAAUUUUUUAACAGCAAGCGGUUGCCCACAACACACACAACUUAUUAGCAGGAAUCUUCUGUAUUAUUAUCGGUCAUCCCACACAAUUCUAAUGACUUACCUGUUUUCAGGUAUCACACACAUCUUUUUAAGCUGAAUCGUUUGUGUUCUUCUGGAUCAUCGCAAAUAGUUCAUCUGAGUGACAUGUAUGUCGCCUAUCGCACACAUCUUGUCCUAGGUAAUCGUUUGUGUUCUUCUAGCUCAUCGCAAACAAUUCACCCGAAUGACAUGUAUGUCGUCUAUCGCAUACAUCUUGAUCGGAGUAACCGUUUGUGUUUUUUGGCUCGUCGCAAACAGUUCAUAUGGAUCAACUGUAUGCCAUGAUUCGCACACGCAACUCUAAUUUGAAUCGUGCUUGAUGGAUCCGUCAUCGCACAUAGUUCAUUUUAUUGGUGACGGUUUUAUUACCAUGCCACUUGCGAUUAAUGCAUCGCACACAGUUUGGUCGAUUGGUCUCCUAUACAUGUGUCGUCUUAGGAUCUUCCUGCAGUUGUGCAAGUUGGGUUUGUCCGACCCCAUGUUCAUAAUAUGUGUUCGCAUUAUUGGUUCUACAUCUUCAUUUCAAUGACCUAUGUAACAUGGUCAUCAAUCAAUUCAUGUGGUAGUCGUAUUCAUAUGUGUCCACGUAUGAACUCUAACUAGGGACUAGUUUAGAAUAAUCAUUAAACCACAAAGUUUUACAAACAAUUCACAUACUUAUCAAUCAAUACAAAUGAUAUUAUUCAAGUACAAUUCAACAAUUCAUGGAUACAAUGAAAUAUAAUCAUCUCUAUGACUGCCUCUAAGGGAUAUUUCCAACACAUGUGUCUAUCAUCCUCUCAAUAAUUUUGGCCUCACCAGCCCCAUACAUCGGGUGACACAUGGCACCAAGUGAGGUUGUGGGUGGGACCUUCAUGCACUCACUUUCAAAACAAGUUAGUGUGUGCGCAAAAAAAAUCUCCAAGUGAGAUCAAGAAGAGAUUUAUUUUCAUCAUUGUCCAAUAGCAAUAGGGAAUUUCCUUGCUAACAUAGAAAUCUAGGAGUUUUGCACAUCACCAUUAAGCAGACGAACUAAGAUACGAUAGAAGAAUGCGUUUGUCCGGAGGUUCCCUAGUACGUCUCCAACGUGUCUAUAAUUUUUUAUUGUUUCAUGUUAUUAUAUUAUCAAUUGUGUAUGCUUUAUAUGCCACUUUAUAUCAUUUUUGGGAACUAACCUAUUAACUCAAUGCGCAGUGCCAGUUGUUGUUUUCUGCUUGUUUUUGGUUUUAUAAAAAAUCCAUACCAAACGGAGUCCAAACACAAUGAAACUUUUUGACGAUUUUUUCUGGACCAAAAGAGACCCCGGGAAGCUUUGGGGGAAGUCCAAAAGCCAGACAAGGCAGGGGGCACGCCCCAAGGGGGAGUCCUGCCCCCUUGUGGGCCCCCUACUGCUCCGGUUGACCUAAUUCUUGGCCUAUAAAUUCACAUAUAUUCGGAAACCCCUAGAAGCGAGACCCGAAACAAUUAUUCCGCUGCCGCAAGUCUUUGUUCUUCCGCGAUCCCAUCUGGAGGCCUUUUUCGGUACUCUGUCGGAGGGGGAAUCGAUGAUGGAGGGCCUCUACAUCAACCUUGUUGCCUCUCCGAUUAUGCGUGAGUAGUUCCUCAUAGGACCUGCGGGUCCAUAGCAGUAGCUAGAUGGCUCUCUCUCUCUCUCUCUCUUUGAUCUUCAAUACAAUGUUCUCUUCGGAGAUCGAUUCGGUGUAAUCCUUUUGCGGUGUGUUUGUUGGGAUCCAAUGAAUUUGUGGGUUUAUGAUCAGAUUAUUCAUCGAAAGUAAUUGAAUCUUUUCUGAACUUUAUUAUGUGUGAUUGUUAUAGCUAUGUAAUGCUUCUCGAUCUAUCCAUUUAGUUUGGCCACCUAGAUUGAUUUAUCUUCAAUGGAAGUGGUGCAUAGUAGUAGGUUCAAUCUUGCGGUGUCCUCACCUCAUGACAGAAGGAGUAGUGAGGCAAGUAUUUGUAUUGUUUACUAAGGGUAAAACUAUGGGGUUUCAAUCAUAUUGAUUGGUCUUAUUUUGUGUACAUUAUGUCAUCAUGCUUAAAGCAUUACUCUGUUUAUUAUGAACUUAAUACCUAGAGAGGCAAGCAUACAAGCGCUCUCGAAGUGGAGUAAUAGUAGUAGAUGCAUAAUCGUUUUGGUCUACUUGUCACGGACGUAAUGCCUAUGUAUUGACCAUGCCAUGAAUAUCAUCAUAACAGCGUUUUUCUAUCAAUUGCCCAACAGUAAUUUGUCUACCCACCGUGUUAUUAUGCUUAUGAGAGAGAUGCCUCUAGUGAUGCUAUGGCCCCGGGUCCAAUUAAAUUUAUAUUUACUAAAGCCCUAAAAAUACCUUGCUGCGAUUUAUUAUCUUUUAUUUUACUUUUAUAUUAUCUAUCUAUCACUACCAGAUUUGAUCCUUAUAACCGGCAAGAACGAGGGGAUUGAUAACACCUUUGCCUCCAUUGGGUACAAGUAUUUGCUUUGUGUGUGUAGGUACCGCUUAUCUGUUUCUCGUGGAGUCUCCUAUUGGUUCAAUAAACCUUGGUUCUUGACUGAGGAAAAUAUUUCGCUACUGUGCUACAUCACCAUUCCUCUUCAGGGAAAUCCCGAUGAACGAUAUAAGUAGCAUUCCCUCUCAACACGACAUUUCAGGCAUACUAGUAGUAUGAUUGGGAUUUUGCGCGUGACAUUAGAAGGAAAUUGGUACAACGUUGGUCGUUCUUCCCCCUUUGAGCUGCUAAUUCAUAUUGUUGGACCAAAAUCAUGUGAAAGCUCUAGGAUACAAUUUUACAUAUGAUUGAUUGGAGAUGUCCUGGCAUAUGAUACACGUAAGCAAUACACCGAUGUUAUUUUUUCGCGAAUACGUAAAGCUUAUGUAUCAUUGCAUUGAAAUAAGGAAAGCAGAGAAGUACAUAAGAAGGUACAACACAUAGCACGGGCGCAUACAUGAGAAGGCGUGGACAUGAGGGACUCGAUGGGGAAUGAGUUAGCUGCAACGGCUAGCUCCCGCGACCCCGCUCCACCCCACCAGCCCCCACCGGCGGCGGUCGCUCCAGCCUCAUCGGCUACCCUCUCUGCUCUGCGCGUCCCCCAUCACGCAUCGCUGAAGCCCCCCGUCGCGCUCCCCCAUCACACACCGUUGAAGCCCCCCGCAGGCAGGUUCAGAGCGGAGAAUGGGGUUCAUCGGCGCGCGCCCUUGCCUACCACCGAAGCCGCGUCGUUGCGCUCCGCCCCGGUUCCCCUUGUCGGCGCCGUCUCCUGCCAGCAAUUGAAGCCCCCGGCGCCGAGCUCCGCGGGUCUCCCGCAGCUCCUCCCAGCCCUGGCGGAUCUGACUCCCGCCUCCCCGCCGCCUCCGGCGGGCCGGAUCCCCGCGAUGCCCCCGGUGCCCGACGAGUUCGUGGUGGAGCUCAAGCACCGUCCUGCUCCCUCGUGCGCCGCCGAUGGUGAUGAGGUCGAGGAUGGGAAGCUUGGCCCAAUGUCUCUGCCGGCGGGAUUUGUCUCCCGCGAUGCGCAUGCAGCUUCAGCCUGGUUUCGUCGUGGGUGAGGCCCCGACCCUGCAGUCGCCUCCAGUCGCCACGAGGAUGCUGUCAAGGACCUGUCCAUACAGCCGCCUCCAGCCACCGCGCAAGACCUCGAAGUUGGUGCUGAUCCCCGGUCUCCAGAUCUGGUAGCUUGUGGCACUAACAAUGUCUGCAUCCAGGAGAUGGCGCCGCAGUCGCCCGCAGCUGGUGAGGAGGGCUUCUAUCGUGGUGUUGCUCGCGUGUCGUCGAGCGAUUCCGCGCCGCUUCCUUGCGAUCCCGCAGAGACGGUGGGCAUGCUGCCAGGGGAUGGUCCCUAGAUCUUCGUGGGGACAAAGCGUCACUGUGACCGUGAGCUCUGCAGCCAAGCUUCUGAUGUCUUGGCCAGGAGUGGUGCCAGGCUUGUGCAAGCUGCUGACUUUAGGCGUCGAACUCACGGCCGUUGUUUCCAUUGCUUGGCUCCAGACCACAAGGCUGCCUCUUGUCGUGACCCUAUUCGAUACCUCACCUGCCUGCGCUCUGGGCACCGUGAGAGGGACUGUCGUCGUCGUCGCAUUUCCUCCAUCAGAGCUCGCCGCAAUGCGCGUGCCUCCCCAGCUCCGCCUUCUCCUUCCUCAUCUGGACGCUCUUGGGCUUUCGUUGUUGCCCCCGCAACGAACGCCCAACCUCCAGAGUGUGUGAUGUCUUCUGAAGAUCCUAGUGAAGGUUGUGAUGGUUAUGAUGUUGUGGCAAGGUCCGCUGAUGCUUUGCUUGCACCUUUUGCCGUUGAGCUGCAAUCCUUGGUGGCGAAGGCGCUUCACCCUUUGAGCUUGUUGGUGGCCCGUGCAACCAGCUUAUUGGAGCAGGCGGAGGUCUCCAGUGGUGACAAGGGGUCGAUCCAAGCCUCUUUGCAGGGACCCUGCUUCCCUGACUCGGACGCUCAUGGCUCGAUGUUGACUGCAUUGGCGCCGUGGGUGGCAAAAGAUGGGGACCAAGGUGUCGAGGGCAGCAUGGCCACUAAGUGUAGCGUGGCCAUUUCUACUGCGGGCGAAGUGAGGGAUGUUGCUGAGGGAUGUGCCUUGGCGACUGAGAGCGAGGGCACUUUGCAUGACUUCGCCGAGCUGCUCACAGGUCUGACUCCAAUCAUCCAAGGUUUGUGUCGCCUGGUCAAUGCGAAGAAGGUCAACCAGCGGAUCAGUGCCCCCUUGGGGGGCAACCCUACAGGAUGUUAGUCGCUAGCACGCAAUUGUUUCCCCGGUGGCUGUCAUUUUGGGAGUAGUCCGCUUGUGGUUUCGCGGAUGGCUUGUUGUUGUGUGCCAUCUGCGAUAUCUCCGUUGGUUUUGAGUCUUGUGGGUUUUGGCCCUCGAUGUAUCGGUUUUCGCCCGGUUUUCCAUCAAUUAACCGGGCAACUACCUUCUUCUUAAUUAAUGAAAAAGGCAAAGUUUUUGCCUCUGUUUCAAAAAAAGGCGUGGACAUGGGACCCGGAGCAGAGAGACACAUGAUGCUCAGCCCAAAAGAAAAAGAAAAAGACCACAGCUAAACCACCAAGCCUGACCCAAGUAGAGGGGCAAGCCGAACCGGCAAAACGUCGAACAUCUCUAAAUCCAACACUGUGGACACUGCGAGCAAGCAAGAUGGUACCUUCAAGAAGGGGAGCAACGUCAUGACGCCGCCGCCAUUCGAAGAACCAGAUCAAGGGUUUCCCCCGGUGCUCGAAGAGGGGCACGGAUAGAGGCCAUGGCAGCGCCUCCGAGAAGGGAAAUGACACCCGCGGAUGCCGUCGCUGCCAGCGUCGGCGAGCCGAUCAGGGAUUUCGCCCUCGCCUAAGUCCGAGCGAUCCCAUUGCCGCAGAUCAGGGUCCAAUGUUAUGGCAUGGCAUUCAACACCUGAAAGUAGGUAUAUCUUUUCCUUUGUAAUUCUACCCUCGCCAACGCCAAUGUGAGACUAUGACACACACACACACAGAGAGUGUGUGUUAUCAAUCGCCCCACAAGUUUUGUUUCAUCUAAGAAAGCAUUCAAUAUUUUCCUCCCUUGUCCACUAGCAAAAGAGAAUAUUUCCUGCUAACAUGGAAAGUUGGGAGGUUCACACAUCACCAUUUUGCAGACAAGCUAAGAUUCAAUGGAAGAAUAAGUUGGCGGGUAGGUUGCCUCUCACCCACGAGGUUUGAGCCUAUUGUAGUAUGACACAUGGAAUUAUGUGUAUGACAAAAGUUUAUUAGGAGGAAAUCGGUAUAGCAUUGCCUUGCCUAAUUGCUCUUUCUCCCUGUGUGUUGAUGGUUGUUCUUUCUGUUUCAAGUAAUUGAUGUGACUUAACAUGUUAUUGAUUGGAGAUGCCCUAACGAAAUGAUAUACGCAAGCAAUACAUCGAUGUUACGACAUGGCACCUAAUAAUUGUACUAGCAUGGCGCAUACAGUUGAAUAGCAAAACCGCAUGGAACAUGUGGUUAGCCAGCACUAGAAUAACAUGCCCGCAAAAAAAUCUUGAAUAACAUACUGCAGAAAUCAUUUUUAAAUGCUAAGAAAAAAAUCAAGAAAAAUGCGGGAAAAAGUUGAAACAUGUUCUUGAGAAUUUUAUUACUGUGAAAAUGAAUAGAAACGUCUCCAAGGAGAACUUUGCUGCACAAUAAGCUGCAUAAAUUUGUAAGAAGUUUGUUAUGAAAUAUAAUUCAUUUUAGAAUUUAUGCACGACUUGCAAAUGGACAAAUUUUAACAUUUUUUAUGAGAUAAUGCAUUUAGCAUCUUUUUCAAUUUGUACACCGAUUCUCUACGUGUACAAUCAUUUCCGCAGCUUUAUAAUAACAUGUACUCAUAGCAAGUACUGUACCUUAGCCGAAUUAGUUAUCGGGUGAUGUUCACAGGACAGUGAUGGUAGCACACCACAAGUACAGUGAAACACACCUACACACGGAUACACAUGUAAGCAAGGACCGACGUGUCGACCCGACGCGGCCACUCCGGCUUGCCGCCACAUACAUAUUUUCAGCACCUCGCCCUCCGGCGACUCGGCGGAUAGCGGCGCCAGAUCACGGCGGACGGCGACGGCGCCUGGGGCUCGACGUGGCCCGGUCCGCCCCGCGUGCUCCCUUGUGGCGCGUAGGCAUCGGAGACCACGACCGUGCAUGGCCCGUAGUAGCCAGCUACCAGGUCCCUCCCGGAGCCAACCUGCGGCCGCCUGUCGAUUCGGCGCUGCGCUACGCGCCUCCGUGAAUUGAUCGCAAACAGUGACCCUAGUACAGCCCGGUCUGGCCCCUAGCUGCGCGCGAGCCUGUGUGUGGGCUGCCCCUCGGCUCCUCGCCGGUCCACAGGUUCCCCGCGCCGUCGCUGUUGAUGUCACUUGCGGGUGCCGUAGGGUCGGCAAAACAGUGUGAAUUUUUUGUAGCUCGGGAGAGGUUGCGGGUUGCACUGGAUAUGCACGGUGGUUGGGGACAAUCCGUGGGCGUGCCAGCGUACAGCGACUGAUCGUGGUCGAAGACAAUCGAGUUUACUGUGCGUGCGGGUGGGUUUCGACAGGUAAUCCGGCUGGAUCUCUCUUCAGAUAAACCUCAACAAGUUUUAAGGAAAAAGGUGGAUAAAGCUCGCCAAGUUUAACUCUUGCACGCCUUCUCUGCCUGCCUCCCCCGUUGUUUCGAAAUACAGUACACAAACAAAUACACACGCUUAUUCUUAUGAACACACGCAUACUCUACCCUUAUGAGCACCUUCGAGAGAAUAAGCCAGCAGGUCUUAAGAUUAACAAAGUCAUCACAAACGCCUCUGUCGGCAGGAACGUCGCCACCUCUGGUUUCUCUUCUUCCUUUUCAAUUUUUCGGAUGCAAAGUAGUCGUCUCCUUUUUCAUGAAAAAUCUCUUUCAAUUGCAAGAAUUCAACUUUUGAAUACUUCAACUUGCAAACUUAAUCUUUCACAUACAAGGGAGUCCAGAUAACUUGCUUUUGCCAAAUAUCUGCUUAAGGCCGUUCCUGCUAAAUAUCUGCUAAUUUAACUCUAAUAUUACUCCCUCAAUCCUUUUUAUUUCUAGAUUCUGUACAACUGUCCUCGCCACAAACUCCCGACCAUAUAUUCUGAAACAUACUUUGGAUGGCAUUGUGUUUGUACAUAUGUGCUUUCAUUUGUCAUCAAAAGGGCAAUUUGGUAAUACAACAGUUUACAGAAUGACUCUAGCACCACACCUCAUCCGCCACCUCGUCCCUUGGUCCUUGCCCACUUUACUGGAAAUUUAUCUACAGAAGAGAACAUAUCAAGGCACCUAAAGGGCAUAGUAAACUAAAAACUUCAAUUAUGAUCCUAUGCAGAGAUUCUCGAGACCAAAACCCAGGAACGCUUCGUUUUCAGUACUGAUCAAGUGAUAAUACUGUUACAUCAAACUUGGCUCAGGGCAUAUGCGAUAGUGUCUGAUUGCCAGCGUCCAGGAUGAUCUCAUCAUGUGCAGGUGUUAUGCUGCACAAAUGUUUCAAGUUAGCCAAGCUCAUGCUCAGGACAUCAAAUUCAAAUUGACGAUGCGAUGCAUGCUUACCUCAGAUAGCUCAAAGCUGACAUUCUGUACAGCAGCGUGAACACAAGGAGAUGCAAUCCAAUAGUGUAGAAGAAUAUAAAUGUCCGGGCAAAUCUGUGAAUACAAACAGAACACAUGCUACAUUAGUUUCUUGUUUCAGUCCGCUUCAUUGGUCAAAUACAGAAAUUCAAGCAAUUCAUUAGUGUAGGAGAAUAUAAAAGUCCAGGCAAAUAUGUGAAUACAAACAAAACACUUGAUAUAUUUAUUUUCAGUCCGCUUCAUGGAUAAAAUCAUACAAUAAAGAAACUCAGGCAUCAUGUAAUACAAAAUGGCAAUCACUUGUACAUUCUUAUCCAUGAAGGGCUAGGAUUAAUCAAUGGUGGCCAGUUUUAAAGUUUAGACAUGAGCACAAUGACCAAAUAUAAAAAUCUAAACAAAGAUUCAGACGAAGGGUAUAAUUUAAGAAGUUGGAACCAAAUUAACUACUCCCUCUGUAAAGAAAUAUAAGAGUGUUUAGAUCACUAGCUAAACGCUCUUAUAUUUCAUUACAGAGGGAGUACAUCUCAGUGGCAGAUCCAUGCACACCUGAGUCAUCGGUGUUGUACUUAUUUAAUUCAAAAAAGACAUACAACAUUGGGAAUGGUCAAAUAAAAAACUUGGCAUGUAUAGCUCUGCUGUUUCUACAACAAUUUAAAAGUUAUCAUCAAAGAUCGGUAAUACAACAAAUACAAAGAAAGUUAAACCUGAACUGCACACCCCACAAAAAAUGAUAGUAUCAUACUUGUUACCGAGGAGAAAACGGCCACUACUGAGAGUGAUCUUAUCUCUUAUACCAAGUUCCUUGUAUCUUUGAUCCUUUUCCUGGAUAUGGCAAAAAAAGAACAUAAUUGAGCUGUGUACAAUACCAGAGAUAACAUGUGUUGCUGAUGAUAUGUUCAAAUAUAUCUACCUUCCUCGAGAAAGCUGCAAAAGGAUUUAUGUCAUCCUCGUACAUUUUCUUGUACUUUGUUUCAACGUCUGAAGAACCACUUUCAAUAUCUUCUGCGUACUGCAAGGCGCAACAUAACAAAGGUCAAAUGCUAGACAAUGUGAAGUAUGUAAAGUCCAUCAUAAGGAUUUAUGCUAAACCUUCUUUGGUCCUCUAGAAACAAUCUUCUCAUGACUGUAGUCCUGGACGUAUCGAAUCUUUCCGUACAAUUGAACAUUAUCAGCUUUUGUUUUUUCCAAUUCUACAGCUAGCAUUUCAUACUUCUCUUUUAAUCUCCUCAGUUCCUGGGAUACGUAAAAAUGACAAUACAUGGUCAGUGGUGAUGCAUUUUCAUAUUUCAUGAAGCAAAGAGACGUCAUGGGAUAAAAAAAAUCCAAGAAAAGCCUAACAGAAUCACAACUUUCAAGAAAACCAAGGAAAAUGACCCUCUUAUAUCAUUACCAAACCUUGUCGAAAAUAGAAGCCUAUAAUAUAUACCUCUUCGGUUUCACGUAGUCGUGUACGGAAACGGUCCCUCUGAUUGCAGAUGACCUUGAGCAUGGAACUUUGAUCUUGGUCUGGUGAUGAAUUCCUUGGAUCAGUACCCUGUAAAUAAAUGAAAAGAAACAAGUGAAGCUACACAUGGAUGUAGUGACCAUCUGAUUAGACAAUUCAAAAUCAAAUGCACUGUUACAAAAAAAAAAGAGUAUUGGAAUGAUUUUUAGGCACAUUCGGUGUUUGCCUUAACAUCUAGAACUGUGGAUACUGUUGAUAACAACUGCAUAUACUGCUAAAUAUUAAAAUCACACGCAUGUUUGCAAAAUCAGUGUAUCAAGAGUUUUUUCUGGGAAACUGUGGUAGAGGCGCUAAAUAUUUCAGUGUCUGGUAAUUCACUAACUUUUCAAUGUUUCAGUGUUGUGUAUUAACAGUUGUAACGGUAACAUUUAUGACAAUUGCAGAUCUUUAUACUAGCUUUAAGAUGAUGUCUAUGAGGACUUAAAGUUGAUCAUCUGAACUGUGUUUCCCGUGCAUUUAUUGUCCACGGCUGAAUUAUGCAGCUUCUAAGAGUAAUGCAGAAUUAAAGCGACAUGGUUAGCUAUAAGUGAACCCAAACUAGAAUUUUACCUCCGAUACUUCAUUUGAGCCUAUUUCUUGAAGAUCCCAAUCAUUCAAAAGAGAACUCCUCCUAUCAGUUGAACUGCAGCCCUGUAACAAAGUAAAUAAACAUAUCAGCUACACAUGUGCUUCAAGAAACAAAAGGCAUAACAAAUUCUUUGGUUUCUUAAGUAUCGAAAUCCAGGAUUGUGUAGUUUAUUGGAAUAACAUAAUAUCACUAUUCAGACUGUAGCACUAAAUAAGGUAACCGUAUAUGCAGAAGACAUGCUCGUAAGGAUUAUAUAUUCAACUUCAAAGGACAAUAGGAUCAACUGGCAAUAUGUGAAAUAUCGCAAGGGUAAGGAGAGCAACCUUUAAUAUGUCAUCCUCAAGUUUCAGAAUCAAUUUUUGCUGCUCUUCAACCUUUGAAGUUAGUUCAGCGAUCUUUUUCUCAGCUUCCUCAAGAAGACUUGACUUCUCUGAUAUUUUAACCUUUAAGAGAUGAAAAAAAAAUUUACAAGACAGUUCCAGCAGAGAAGAUAACAUGUAUACAUGACAAAUACUGAUUGUCCUCCAAAGAGCCAAACCAUUUUCCAGCAUAUAAACUAGGUACCAACCUUCAACUGUGUAAGUUCAUGCUCCAUUUUGCGGUUCUUAUCAAGAAGCAAAGCUUCCAGUUUGCUCAUUUCUUCACCAUUAGUUGCUAGCUCCCAGUCUUCAGCUUCAAUUGAGUUGUACCCAACAGCCUAUUGGAAAAAAAAUAGGAAUUUCAACAAGCAUGGGGACAGAAAAUCAAAGAUAGUGAGGAUAAUAUGGAGGAAUAACAAAAUGUAUCUCAAGCAUAUCUCUGUGAUCACCAACAAAAUGAUGUGGGCAAAUUUAGUAUAAGAUGCAACACUGAAAAGCUGAUCUCAUGUAUCAUGUGUAUUUGAAAUUUCACUAAAGGAUAAAGAGGCAAUGAGUUCAAGUUCAGAUCCAGUUGAUUAUGGACGGUACGUCGUCAAACGUACGAACUAAAGUAGAUGGUUUAACAAAAACAUGUUUAUCCAUAGAGCUUGUUUUGUUCCAACCUGCAAAAUCUGAACCUUUUUCUUGAGAUCAUCAACUAGUCUAGUCGUAGGUCUUUCUUGAAGUUCUUUCUUCAACUCCGUUAUCGCAGUUUCCUACAAAGAGAAAGUAAUUAGCAAAACAACAAAUAAGUGGACCAUGGGUGCAUAGAUACAAAUCAUUCCAAGAGCAUAUAUAUGGUGGAUCGACUCGUGACUGGAAAAUGGCUCACACAUAUAGUAGAAAAAGUGACUUAUUAUUAUCUUCAUUUUCUCUGUGUGAUUUUUUCAGGUUCAGAUGCAAGGCUGUAGCCAUGUCUAUGAAACUCACCUAUCACAGAAUGUUGAUAGUGAUAGAAGCAAAGAAAUUAAUAUAUUGAACAAUAUUUGGAAUAUGGAUUGUAAGUAAAUAGACAGGUUCAUGAUACACAUAAGAAGACUACUGUGCCCUUCAGAUGAUGGAAAAGAAUAAACAGGGGGACUCUCUAAAUAAGAGAAUGGUUGAGUCCCUCACUUAUAGCUUGGCAACCAGUAGCCAACAUUAAGAGUAGUGAGUUGGUUACUGACAACUGAAUUUUGACAUAGCAAUUUGACUGGGUACCUUCUCACUGAGUAAAGCAGUCAACUUCUUUACUUCAUUCACAUGCAUUUCUUUCUCACUUGAUAAAGUACUUUCAAUGUUACGCAGUUCUGCAUUCAACUCUGAUAUAAUCUUCUCCUUGGCAUUCAAAGAACUCUCAAGUAUAUCACUUGGGUCCAUGUAAUCACUGCAUAAUUGCAUAGUUCAGAUAAUAAGUUAGUAUUAAGUUCUAGAUAAUCAUAAAGGCCCAGCUAAAAUAAUAGCAAUACUGCUGAAAGUCACUGUAUCAACAGCAUUAUGAAUGAUAAAAAUUAUGCAAAUACACACUUGCAUGCAUAUUCAUUCAUACACAGGAAAAAUGCAAACAAAAUUACCUAUUAUUACUUGUGUCUUCAUUUGUUGUCUGCAACUGAGACCGUAAAUCCCCCUGCAGUGAACAUAAGAAUAAAAUCGUAUGUUAGGGAAGCCAAUAAUAGAUGUGCACAUAGUUAAAAAAGGCGCGCCUAAGCGAGCGCUUAAGCUCGCCUAGGCUCUAGGCAUUGGCAAAACGCAUUGCGCAUAACUACGCUUAAUCUGCGCAUAACUGCGCAUAAGCAUGCGCUUUGGUCAGUAAAGCGCAAGGCGGUGGCAAAACGCACAAUUAACGCCUAGCGCUUUUUUGAACUAUGGAUGUGCACAUUUUGGUCAACACAUGACAUGUCAGUCAUAAAUUCAAUGUAUUCACCGACUGAGGAUUAUUUGAUAAUAGUCUAUCACCAUAAGUUUGGUGCAGUAGUAUGAGAGAAUGUGCAUAGAUCUCAAGGCACAGAUCUCGAUUGCCAUAGUGGGAAAAUUGCAACCAUAUGAAAAGGGAUUUUCCUAAAGCCAAAACAGCAACAUGCAACAUUACCUUUUCUCUCUCAAGGCUAACUAAUCGUGAUUGAGCGCGUUCAACUUCAUCCAUCAGAAGGCUCACUUCAGCUUCCUUUGCUGUCCGGUCCUCCUCUGAACAAAAUAUAGAACUUCAUUAGAACUUCCAUAAUUAUUGAACCAUUAAGCAUAGCGAUCGUCAAGGUAACACAACUAAAGAAAGGAAGAAAACCUGAUUGAGUACGAAGCUCAAACAAUUGGCUUUGUGCCGAUUCAUGUAACUUCUGCAUAUUCUUGACACUUUCUGUAGCUUGCCUUAGUUGGUCCUGCAACGCCCGUUCCCUACAAUCAUGGCAAUCGAAAAUUCAAAUCAGCAUAUGCAUCAUCAUAUAUGAUGUGGCAAAUUCUCGAAAUCAAGAAGCUUAAAUUUAAAUUGUGAUAAUCGUUAAGCAAUUAUUUUCUUCGUUGCAAUUAUUUAUCAUACCUAUCUUUCAGGGCUUCGAGAGUUUUCUGACUAUCUUCUGCCAAGCUUCGCUGUUUCAUUUCAACCAUCUCUCUAACUUUUUCUUCCAUCUAAAAUCACAAAAAUAAAAUAAAACAUUAGAAAGUAAAAGAGAUAUGAUUCAAGAAAUAGGAAGUGUGUUAAAACUAUGUGGAACAAGAAAUCAGCAAUGUUUUUUCAUCAAAGUAGUUGCUCGCUAUAUACAAACUUCAUAAACUGGAAGGAAUGUAUAUAUUUCAGCUGCAAGUGCAAUGCCACUUGCAUAUUUACAAAAUAUUUUGACUAAUGGUGUUAUGUCUAAAAAGCAGUAUUAGUGGGCCAAUAUAUUCGCAGACAGACCAUGGUACAAUUGUUUUUAGUUCAGGUGAAAUUUGGAAUUCAUGCAUGAAUGUAAAAGGACUUAAGUUUUCUAUCAUGAAAAGUAUGAGGCUUCUGAAACUUUGUAAACAAGAACAAUACGGCCAUUCAAGUAUGAAAAUGAAAAUUAAGAAUACCAUUGUAUGGAUACAGGAAGUCAAUUGGAUAAUUUCAUAAAGCACCAGUGUGAAGGAACUAACAUUAUUCGACUGUGAAACUGACACCGUUCAUGCAGAACAUCAAAACCAGAAGGAAAACUAACUAAAAAACAGAGCGGGAAACCAAGUGACCUUGGAACAGACCUGUUGUUCUAGUUGGCGGUUUCGCUCCUCAAGUCGCCUAAUCGUCGCCUGUUGGUUCUUUAGGUGCGCAGAUUCCGCCCGGUAUUCUUCAAGCUCAAGUUUCAUCUUCCGGUUUUCAGUCUCCAGUUCAGAUAGUUUCUGGUCUUGAUCCUGAAUGAAUUGAGAUCAUUAGCAACAAACUUUGGUGAAAUCUGACUGAAUGUCAUUUAUUAUAUUCGAAGAAGAUGCUAGUUAUUGACAUUCAAGCAAAGGAAUAAACAAAACUGAACACGUCAGACUUUUGUUGGAGGAAACUGCAGUGCCAUAUCAUGUUUUUUUCCAAAGUUGCUAACUCUGAUCUGCACUAGUGUUAACACGUGACCGCUACUUUUAAGUUGGAACAAACUAACUCGCAUCUAUAUUUGCAGAUUAACAGCUUCCCACCUAUAGUUUAAUUUAGUGCAAGUUGACACAUAUUAUAGCAAAAGUUCUAUGUUCGGAGAGUGACGAUAGAAUCAUACAAAUAAUUAUCUGUUAUUAUCAGAUAUCAGUAGGUGUCAAUACUGAAUACCAAUAAGAUGGCAAGUGAUUAUUGCGACAAGGCAAGAUAUUAAGUAUUGGUGGCAACUUGCAAUUUAGAGAAGUCGGGACAGCCAUGAAGGCAGUUUCCUCUAUGAAUACAACAAACAAUGCCGAAUUAGAGAAGCUACGGUAGAGAGUAAGUUUGAAAGACAUACAGCCAUAGAAGCAAGAGCUGGAUAUGGAUCAGGGGCUUCAUAGAGCUUCUGAUAGAUGUUGAGAAAUGCAUUUUCUCCAAACUUUGCUCUCUUUGUGAGAUUGUCAACUUCCUCCUGGUAACUCUUAAGCAAUGAGUUGAACAAACUAAGCUUGUCAUCUGGAGAUGCCUUCUUGAAGUCCCGAGUAUUCUCAGCAAGUCUACGUCGGUUCUUCUGGCUCGUCUCUUGAUUCUCCGCAAUCUUUAAACCCUGCUCAUCCAAACCACUUCUUUCUUUCUCCAAAUCAAAGUCUAAAUUGUACAAGAGACAACAGUCAGAUUCUCCACCAUGGAUAGCAUAAAAAUUUACAUGGCGAAAGCAUCAACCUACAUUCCACAUACAAGAACUAAAUAAAUCAAUAAGUUAUCUACAGUAAAUGAGCAUUCACACUUGGAAGCUAUUUAGGCGUUGUAGCUUUCCAAACCCCCACAUGGGAACCACGGUAUCGAUCACGUGGCAUGACAACUCACAGCUACUCUCCCUACUUGGUAUGGAUCAAAUAAUUCAAGGAGACAAUAAAAGUUCAUGACGUCUGUGAACAAUCACUAACUCAUUGUUCGAAUGAUGUAGAGUGGCUAUACAUGGCCUAUGCACAAAAACUAGUAAUAUCUAUUAUUUGCUUUUUUCGAUCAGUGCAGAAACUAAACUAGGACAGCAAAAGCUUGCCAAGCUUCAUAGAAAUAGCGAAUUUAAGUUUGAGACGAAGACUCAAGCCUUCUCUACUGAAACUACUUGGUCUCACUGUCACGAGCAUAUCAUACAGUUGGAGCCAACUGAGGAGGUGGCAGGCAAAAACAUGCCAGUAGCAGAUUUGAAUGCAGGUGGAAAAUGUAAGCAUCUCAAGGAAAUUAAGAUAUCUCCAGUCGCGAUUAGUUGCAAAAACCCCGCAGAUUCUGCACCUACGAGCCAGUACAGGUGCGCGCAACUGGGAAUCGCGAUGCUCCGCGGCAAUUCAAAGCAACCGUCCUUACAGGCACACCAGUUCGAACCAACAUCACCGCCUAUUCGAACGAAGCGAAGGUGGGAUCGACGCGGACCUUUCCAGAAGCUGCAGACGACGGCGAGAGGCGACGCGGAGGAGGACGGGGGCGGAGGAGGGGGCGGCGGCGGCGAGCGGUCGCGCUCCGCCGCGGCCGCCUGGGCCGGCGAGGGGUCCAUCGGACCAGUCGGGCGCUCCGGGAUCUGGGCACCUGGAUCUGGCGGGAUCCGGUGGGGUGGGCAGGGCGGCGCGGCGACGACGCGCGGUGCGUGCGGUGAGUAUAUGUGAUCUGCUUUACAAGUGGUUUUCUUUUCUUCAGUACGUAAGUUGUUGGCUUUGUUGCGGCGAUGGUGCGUCUGCUCGCUCUCCUCUUCCUUCUGUCUGCUGGCCGCGUGGGAGGAAACGUUCGAGUGACGUUUAUCUUUUUCCAAGUUCUUUUUCCUGACAUAGAUCUGAAACACCUGACAUCAAAUCUCGCCACAUGACAAGAAAUCUUAACCUCGUCGUCCCAAGGUUAAAGCCUGAAAUUCUAUGCCGCAGCUCCGUCAACUAUGUCCAGACGGACGAACUCGAGGAGAUUAUAGCCCGAAAAAUAAACUCAAAGAAGAAGCGUCGCCGUCCGUCCGAGUGCCGCACCUACGAGGACUAAAAAAACCUAACCUAAACUACUAAUCGAGGCGAAGGCACCGAAAUUCCUCUUCCCGCCACCGGCCGCCGGAGCGGCGGGUAGAGGGGAGGCAAAUCCACGGGCUCUCUGGUGAAGCUUGGAGGGGAGAGUUUGCCCUAACCGCCUAGGGGUAGGGGAAGAAAAUGAGAGGAAGCCUUGCACCUUGCAGGUUGCGAGAGCCUUUCUAGUUAGAAGUAUUUUAAAAGACACGGUAAACAUUUCAUCUAGGGUUUUAUUUUACGAAAAAAAUCAUCAGAGGUACAAAGCACACAAACAUAAUAAUAAUGUAUUGAGGUCUCUGAACCACAGAACGAGCGUUGACAUACCGUCGCCUCUCUCUCAUACCGGAGCCAACCUCAUCAUGUUGAUGACACCUGAGAAGUUUGUGUGCAUAUGCCACUAAGGACUGGCACCCUAAAGUUGCAGUUGUCGUCAUUAAACCUUUGAAUAGAUCUGAAGAACUUGACAUCAAAUAUCAUGGUCGCGCACACACGGCGAUAAACCCCAACCUAGCUGCCCCGAGGAGCCAACAAGAAUCUACACCAGAGCUCUGCAUAAUCUGUCCCAACAGACGAACUCGAGGAGGGUUGGAGCCCGAAAGACUGACUCGGAGAUGAGGCAUCGACAUUCGUCGAGCGUCACUCUUGUUAGGACUGAAAAAAUAUAUACUAACCAUAGCCAAGGCACCAAGAUUCCCUCCCCACCCCGGGUUGUCGGAGCGGCAAAUAGAGGUGAGGCGAAUCCACGAGCUCAUUAACAGAUAUCGAGGAGAGGAAGACUUUGCCCCGGUCGCUUUAUGAGAAGGGAAAGAAGAGGCUAGCGAUUGGUCAACAUUUCCUCUAGGGCUAAAAUGCCAUUCUAUGGAACCAUAAAUUAGAUAUUGAAUAUAAUCGGUAUGGCGAUGGAGAAAUCAUUAGCAACACAUCUCUAUUUAUGCUCCUAAGCAAUUUUGAAUUUUGACUUGAGCCGUGGAAUAAAGAACAAAUAAAAGGUAGUGCAAAAGCAACUACAAACUUUGGAACACGCAAUAGCAAAACAAGAAUCUGCAACGGUUUAUUGUACUAAUGGAAAGUGAGAGAAAAAUAAGAAGAAAAAACAGGCUUGCUUAGGGUGUUUACAUUAAAACUAUCUUAGCGGUAUCAGGUAGGAUAAAUGGUGAGGUGGGAAAGGGAGAAAUGAAGAGAACAUAAAAACUUGACUUCUCAUAGCUAAGAGUUGAUCUCUUAUAAGAAGAUAAGACAUAUCUCUCAUCCGAAAUUGCUCGAUGCCACAUGACAAUUACGUACAAGCAUAUGCCUAAGUCCGAACGAAAGUUCUCGACACUCCAUCAUUAUUGUGCAUUCCUGAAGAGCAAUAAAAAGUGACACCAGGAAUGGUGACGCUCCGCCUAAAAGACUAAUGUCAAAUCACUCCUCUUCUCAAAGAGCAAGGAUGGAGUAGAUGGGGAGGAGGAUGGGAGAUCUAGAAAGACAUACUAACUUCAUAGAGGCUCGUAGGACGAAGAAAGAGUAGGAGAGGCUUUCAAAGGGAGCAAAGUUUUAUGCCUAGAGAGAAAAGUCUGAGAUGAUUUUGUCGAGGGAUGAGUUGGUAGAGAUAAUGUGGAAUUGGCAUUGAAGAAAGAGCACCGCUACACAUGUAAUAAGAUCGGUACGAUAUUUGUACUAACACACAAUAGUAACCAUCCAUGUUAGGAGUGCGAAGUUUGUGUGGACGGGGGCAUUGGAAGACUUUAUUUCAAAUGAUUCAAAAACGGAAUUUCUAAGUUUAAAAAAAUCUAUGAAAACCUGUACAUAUUCAUGGUGGAUGUGUAAAAUUUCAUUCAAAAAUAUUAUGAAUUGCAAGCUGCACAAAAAAAACAAAAUUCCGGCCCAACAAUAAUAAGAAAAUGGUGGCCCAUUUCCAUGUAUGUAUUUUUUUUUUUUGGUCUAUGCCGCAAGUAUAUUGUUAUGAAACUUUUUGUGACCGUGUUGUAUAUGUAUUUGUGUAUGUAUAAUCUUUUUCAAAAAAAUCACAAUUUGGAAAUAUGCUCUUUUGUAAAGUCCACCAAUGCCCCGUCCUCCAUUUGCACUUUUCGUCCAUGAGAAAACGAGGGACUAUUUGGGCCUACAACCAUCCAUCUGACCAUUGUACGCAAAUCGGACACAAAGCAUCAUACAUGAAGUAAUCCCGUUCAAGAAACAGGAGAAAUUAGCAAUGAAGUAAUCCCGCUCAAGAAACAGGAGAAAUUAGCAAGGUGGUAAGAAGUCAAAGAGAAUGAGAAGAGGCAGCCGAGGAAGCAAGAGGAGUAAGAGGCAGGCAAGACAUUCAAGGAGAUGAAGUUGUCGAAGAAAAGGUACAAACUGAUGGACACAAAUGGGAUGGAUGACAAAGAAUCACUUUUGGGAAAUUAGAAGGGCCGUAAUAUCGGCUUCCCAGAUGUGCUUGGCUUUUGUUUCUUUGGAGUACCAUCAUAUAUAUCUGCUCAUUUAAUUGAAUUUUAAAUUUGAGUCACAAAAUCAAGACCAAGUUGAAUUGUUUUCAGUAAAAACAUAAAGGGGAUUUAUAUAUCACCAGUAAAUACACAACAGGAUAAAUAUAUAAUACGAAAUACAUUUCAUAAUUUAACUAAGGGAAUAAAAUCGAUUUUAUAGAUGCUGAUAUAAUUUCAUAUCAAAUUUAUCAAACUUAUUGACUUAGAAGAAUCCUAGAACUCAAUUAUUUUGAGAGGGAAGUAGACAAGAAAAACUCAGCUGUUGCCUCAUUAGAAAGGCAAGCUUUGGGGGUGCUUGACGCCAAGUAUGAUCAAUCAUCAACAAGCCAUGAAAAUUGCUAAUACAGCAAUACUAAUAAUGUGCUGCAAUACAGGAAAUAGUUUGAAAUCUGCUAAUGAACUAAGAAGCGACGAUGUCCACAUGACCGUCCUCAUGACUGUAGUCCACUAGGUACUUCAGCUCGACACGCUUCGCAUAGCACCAUCCUACCACAUCUUAUGAUUCACAUAGUGCAACCGACCCUAGUACAUCUUAUGAUCCGAAUGAUACAGGUAGCUGCGUAAAUGGACUCGGAAAUAAACUUGGGCACGCUCGAGGGCCAGCCAAUCAGUGCCCCUCUCCCUC
rnacentral:lncRNA from 1 species